GGAGGGGCCACCAUUGUGAUGACAUGGUCGCAGGGAGCAGGCAAGAAUAUGAGCUGUCCCAGUAUGCAUGCAGCCUGUGGAUUGUACAUGCUUGGACUAAAUGGACCAUUUAGAGAGAUGGUCCAUAGGUUACAGAGCAUGAGCACCCUGUCGACAACUAAGAAAGUCUCCUACUGCAUAUGUGUACUACCAAAGAUGAUGCUUAACAUAGAGAAGAACAUGCAUCAGUAAGUGUAGAAAAGUCACAACUGAGUAAGUAGUUUUCCUGUCCUAUAAACACUUUUUUCCUGAAAAACACCAUAUAAAUUUGUAAGUGCAUGUGAUAACUAACAUUAUCUCACAUUUACUUGAUGCAAUUGUUGCUUUUCACACUUGCUAGAAACAACUACUUUGUUUUGUUGCUAGUAAAACUGUGGGAGCUCUACCUCAGGGACAGAUAAAGUACUGGGUGAAGUUUUGCAGGAAUAAAGGUAUAUUUUGAUUAGUUACAUAGAAAGAUCUAGGUUUGCCCUAGAAAUCAAUGGGAUGUAGCUUGCAUUUUUAUUAGCUUGCUUGCUGGCAACUUCUUCCUGUCUGUAUGGAUAUUCCCCCACAGGCUGUGUUUGAAUUCACAGAAGGCUGUGAAAGGCCUUGAAGAAGCUGCUACUCUGCUGUAAGAGAGCAUUUGUGUAAAUACUCUUGACUGAGGCAGACGUCUAGAUCGGGCCCUGGUUUCCCCUCUAUUUCCACAGCAGAGGAUUUUAAACCAGCAUUCAAAGGAACUUUCUGUCUACGUGAUAGCUCAGCUAUCACAUAUCUAGAACUGCAAAAUUCAAUACUCUGCUUUCCUGUUCAUUCCUUAUUAUGUUGCUGAGAGUAUUAGUUAGCUUUAGUCGUAAAGUGGCUUUAAGGUUGGACUAUGAAAAGACACCAUAAACUGCAUCCAUAUCAGACAGAGCCAGCUUGCAAUUGUUUACAAAAGGGACCUGCUGCUGGCCAGAGCUGAGCCAAUAAGCAAUGCCAGUGGUACCUCUGUAAGAUCAGGUUUAAAGAAAGGUACAAUGUACCGUGUAGCUUUGUGAGAGAAGAGUGAGAAAAAUGUGAUAGAAACAGCCCCACAGACACAAAGGUCAGUGAAGAACUGGGAAGAGGGUUGGAGCACAGAUUCCUCUACAGAAUACCAAGGUAAAGCAGAUUGUCCCUUGGUAUCUCAUGGAAGAGUACCUGGAGGAGCAGGUGGUUGUGUCCUUAAGGAAACUGCAGUCCAUGAGGAACCCACACAGGGGAAAGUUUUCUGUCAGGAACUGAAUGUCCCAUGAGGUCCACACCAGCGCAGUCUGUUCCUGGUGAAACGUAACUUGUGGAAACAACAAAUGCUGGAGCAGUUCAUAAGGAAUUGCAUCCAAUGGGAGAGACUACAAGCCCCAUUUUCCAUUGCCCAUGCCACUCAGAGGACAAGGAAGUAGAUCAGUAGGGAAUGAAAGAAUGAAGUUGAACCAUCAAAUAAGGGGGCUAUGGGAAAGGUGUUUUGGUUGUGAUUGUUUGUUGUUUAUCUCAAUAUCCUAAAAAUAGAUUUAAUUGGUAAAUUAAUUUUUUAUUCCCUAAGUUGAAUCUGUUUUGCUCUUCACAAUAAUUGGCGAGUGAUCUCCGUGUUCUUACUUCCUGGAGAAAACAGAAUGGGGAUCUUAUCAACACUUAUAAAUAUCUUAAAAGGCAGCUGUCAAGUGCAUGGGGCAGGCUCUUUUCAGUGGUGCCCAGCAACAGAAUAAGGGGCAACAAACAGAAACUGGAACACAGGAAGUUUCAUCUGAACAUGAGGAAAAACUUCUUUACUGUGAAGAUUACAAAGCACUGGAACAGACUGCCCAGAGAGGUUGCAGACUUGCUUCUGGAGAUAUUCAAAACCCACCUGAAUGCUUUCCUCUGCAACACGUUGUGGGGAACCUGCUUUAGCAGGGUGUUGGACUAGGUAAUCUCCAGAGGUCUUUUCCAGCCCCUACCAUUCUGUGAUUCUGUAAUUUGACCAAUGAGAUUAUUUGUUCUGUCUGUCCUACUGAAGAGGGGGAGGGAGUGAGCACCUGGCUCCAUGCCAUGGCUAACUCAACACACUGAAGCAGAAUUAUAAUGGCAGGUGCACUCUUUUAUUAAACAGUUACUUAUUUUUGUACAAAAAUAUGAUGCACUUGCAUUGUACUUCCACUAUAGCCUAAAGGUACUAAUUUGCAUUUAUAUAUUCUGGAAAAAAAAAAAAUUGAUAACUGAUUGUAUUGUCUGACUGUAACCGAAUUGAAAUUCUUGAUCAGUGAGAGGAUUACUUUAUUUUCUGAAGUUUCUGCUUGAUUUUUUUUUUUGCAAUGUAGAAAUCUCUCAUCUCUAAUUGAUGUCUGAUUUCUUUUCUAUAAAUGUCUUCUGCUCAAAAGUCUUCAUUGCAGGCUUUCUGUAAAUUGUGUGCAUUGAUUGUGAAGUUCUUGUCCUUAUUUCCAAAGCCCUGAGUGGCUAUGGUAUUGGACUAAUUUUCUCUUCUGCAUUUUCUAAGCUGUUAAUUACAGUCUGAAUCAUAAGGUUACUUUUUUUUCUGUACUGUAAUUUGGUGAGCUGUGAGUCAUGAAGUUUUUGUAGCUCUGUCCUUUCAACGAUAUUGCAGGAUCCUUUCCUGCUGCCCACUUGGUGUCCUUAUUUAAAAAUAACAUUGAAGAAAGAAGCUUUUGCUUCUACUUUUAACUUGCUAGUUAGUUGUACUUGUUCAGUGCUUCAAGACUUUUUUUUUUGUUAAGGAUAAUAUGCUAGGUUAGUGAGUUCCCCAAGGUACUAGCUGAAAUACAAAUGGUUAUUAAUAAUAUGUAUGUAGUAAUAAACUGAAAAUGGCUCACUAAAAUGUUUUCUGGGCAGAUUUUCAGGUAGAAUAUUGUGCAGUAAAAUAACAAUUCCUUUUAUUUACGGUUAUUACUGUGAUUUUACUAGUAUAUUUUUAUACAAUUAAUGCAAAGUAAAUGACAUGUGUAUGUGAAGGAAAUUGAUUCCUCAUAGCCUAUGCACUUAUCUCUCUUUGACUGCAAAAUUGGGUUUGAUUAUUGUGUUUAAGAUAAGAAAAUGUUGUUUGUUUGUUUUCUUUUUAAAGUCAUAUCUCAUUGACAUAUCCAAAUAUUUAAAAUUUUGUCAUUACUUUUUACUCAGAAAAAUAUUGGAAUAUUUCCCAUUGCUAGAGAGUCAUUCAGACAAAUGUGAGAGUUUUGAGUAGCAAUUGCCACAGAUAGCUGAGUUCCAUGUAUUUGAUUUUUUCCCCCACUAGAAGAGGAAAUAUGAUUGAUUACUACUAGAGAAUGAAGCAGAGGGACUGGCUGAUUUAUGUGAAAGACUUCUGAUUAAAAAUACACAUAAACCUAAAACUCCUCAAAAUAGAUUUCAUAACUCAUAAUUCAAAUUACCCUUUUCUUCUAAGACUGACAGAAAAAAAUAUUUGAUUUUAACCACUUGGGAGGAGAAUUCUUUUGUGGAGUUUUCUUCUUUAAUUUUUUAUAUUUCUAUUCUGUAUGUUCUCAAGCCAUGUAUUAGUUGUAGGAACAGUGAACUAUUGUUAUAGAAUUCCUCAUGUUGGAAAAGACAUUUAAGGUUAUAUUAAACAAACAAAGCAAAACAAUUAAUGAUGUGAGACUCAUGAAAAAUGUGAUAAUUGGCAGCAGUGGAACACAGAAACCAGGACACAUACAUUUCUAUCGUGUCAUAAUAGUCCCCUGCACCCUUCUUUCAUUAUUUUAAGCCUCAGCGUAGGAACCCUCAUAUUUCACUUGACUAACAUUUUCUUCUCUAAAAGAUGUUUCUGUUCCUCUUGAACAGCUUUGACAUUUCCAUUAUUAGCAACAGGCCUCUGCAACUGGUGAAGUGAGAUGCUGGGGGCUAGAGGUGGACUGUGCUUCUUUCGCAGGAAGUUCUGCUGGGUUUGUCUAGGGGCAGAGGCAUAUAAACGAUUCAUCAGAGGUUAAAAAGGUUGCUUGGGUCAGCUGACCCACAGUAAAUAUGCAUCUUAGCUCAGGGCAAAAGUAAAAUAGUUCGACUUUCUUUAAGGAAAGCAAACUUGGUAAACCAUACGUACUUGUAUGGAUACACCACACACUGGCCAACAAUUUGUGUGGACUACUGCACAUGUUUGAAUUGUUCAGCUGUGUAAAAUCAUUUGUCUGUUUGGAUUUUCUGUCUUGCAUUUUCCUCCCAAAGGGACCGUGUGUAGAAACCCUCCAAGGAGCUAUUUCUGUGCUCUGAUUUAUAUUGCAUAAUUAUACACAAUGUUGGGAAUAUUUGAUAGCUGCUGGAACAGCUCUGUUGAUCUGAGUACAUGAGUCUCACUUCUGGCAGCAGUGCCUCCUCUGUACCAGUGACUCUUCUCACAUGGCAGCUCUGCCCAUCUUGUAGUAUCACACUUCUGCUCCUGCCAACUGGCAUGAAUGGUCUUGUGUCUCAUGCUGAAUACUUAGCACUCAGACCCUUCGUGUGCACAUAGUAGAUAUUGGGGCUAAAAUCUGUGAAGAUGAUAUUCUUAUGGCUGCAUGGUUUUCUUUCAACUGUUUCAGUCUCCCUUUUGAAACUACAUUUUUGCAGCUCUCAUUCUAUUUGUUUCUUAUGUGAAAUUCAAAAGAAGUUAUCUUGGGGCCUCAGUUGCCUACACAUCACCUUGUUUAGUUUCAGAAAUGUUCUCUCUUUCAAAAAAAUAAUUUAUGAUUCAAAAGGUGGCUUCUUAGUCAAAGGUCACACUACUCUGUCCAAAAAAAAAAAAAAAAAAAAAAAAUCUAUAGGUUACAGUGUCUGGAAUCAAUCACUGAAGAAUCCAAGAAUCCAUCUCUCUUUGCAUGGCCAAACUGAUCUCUCUUUUGUUGGUUUAGCAGCACGUGGAGUCUAAUAUAUAUAAUAUAUAUCUUCCCAGUUUGGGAGCUCAAUCUUGCACAGUUUGGGCUGUCAGAAUCUGUUGUGUGAAGAUGUCAUAUACCUUACUUGUGGGAGAGUAUUGUAUGUAUUUGAGAAUUGCUGGAAAUUUACAUCCCUCAGAAAAAGAAAUCUGCUGCUUGAGGAACUUGGGAAGAAGGCAGAGGAAAGGAAUAUCUCUGGUAACGUUCUCUGGAAAGAUCAUAAUACUCUACGCAGGAGCAAUGAGAGAGGCAAGGUAAAGCAGAGUUUCUAUACCUGAGAAGAUGAUAUAAGAAAACAAGCUGCAGGUUCACCCAGGGGCAGCCCUUAGCUCUGGUAUAAGGAGAAACUGUAUGGUUUUCACCAGAGCCUAAAGGAAACCAUGUAUCCAAAAAAGGAACAAAUUGGUUCUAUGCAGGACAGAAAACCUUUGGAGUCAAUAGCAGGCAGCAUGAAUGUCUAGCUGUAAAUGUAGACACUGAUUUAUCAGAGAUAUAGUGGAAAGAAGAGAGUUAGCAGGGUACUUUACUAACAGGAAAGAAAACAUAUAUGAAAGGUGAACAGAGAUGUAUUUCAUGUUAGAGACACUUGACAAUCUAGCUGCAUUAAUGCCUCAGUGCACAGCACAAAAUUCAAGCUAGAGUUAAAUCCUACUUUCAGCACAAAAGGAGCAAAAAUCCUUCCAGAGAUCAUGUCAGCUGAGGACCUAACUAAAGAAAAGAGUACUUGGAGAGGUCGCUGUAGUUAUAUUAAAACAAUUUUGCUGGUCUCUGUUUCAGGUAGGAAAAUGGAAAGUCUUCUGUACCAGAACCUUUACUAGAAUCUUUUUUUUUUUUUUUUUUUUUUUUUUUUUUUAGAGAAGAAAAAGGAUCAAUAACAAUCUUCUACAGAAAAUGUGUUAGUAGUUGUUCACAAACAUGGAAAAUUGUGUCUAAAAAUCAUCAGGAUUGGAUGGUAUUCAGCCAAGAACUUUAAGGCAACUUGAGGACAAAACAUCUAAAUUACUGGCUACAUAUAGUUAAUGGCAAGGAUAAAUAACUGUGUGCAACCUUUUGCCUAAGUAUUCUUUGAAAGCAGGUUUCUAGAGGGUGGUAAGUAUAAUUCUAAUUUGGAAACUUCAGGCCUGCAAGCCUAAUGUCUGUAUAGUAGAAGACAAUUCAUGGAUACCUGAGUAAACAUAAGCUGCUUUGGUAAAGUCUUCUGAAAAGUAAGGAUCAUCUUUAGAACUUCUAAUAUUUUUUUUCAGGAAGUCAAUGAGCUUGUAGCUAGUGAUGAUCUGUUUGACAUGAUUUUGGUUUUUGAAAAAAAGCUUUGACAAAUUCCUAACGUUAAGCUUGUAAUGUACUUAAGUGGCCAUGGCACAGGAGGGGAAAAAAUUGGCAUAGAUUAGGAAGAAAGUGAAAAAUAGUAAACAGAUUUUUUUAAUAGUGUUUUUGUUUGUUUUGUUAGAUAAAAAUUGCUGGUGGUGGGAGGGCUCUGUGCUAGGGUAAAUGUAUUCACAGAUCACUAGAAAAGUAAGUUAGCAGUAAAAUGACAAAAUGUGAUGAUGGUACUAGGUUUUUCAGGGUAGGUAGGAUGAGAACUGGAACUGAAAAAUUGCCAGAAGAUAUUAGGAAACAGCAUGACUGGACAACAAAAUGGCAGGUCAAAUGCAUUGUAGAUCUAUAUUAAUGCACACCCAGAGAACGAACUCUGUCUUCAUAGGGAAAGACUCUGUGCUGGUCACCAUUACUAGGGAGUGAUACCUGAGAUCUCUGCUAAAAAGAAUUUUCUGACUAGUAUUUAUCUUCGUUAUGUAUUCCCAAAAGAUGUUGCAGAGAUGCAAAACUUUGUGUAGCCUCAAAGGAGUGAUUGAACAAAUACUUAGAAUGAAUGUUUAUUGUUGAUUACUAAACAGACAAACUGCAACAUGCUCAGGAAAUCUCCUGAACCAUAACUGAUCAGAGGACAGGAAAGCAACAGACCAAAAAUUACAAAGAUUUGCUCUGUUGUUACUCUUCUCUAAAAGAGUAGUUAUUCUGUAGUAUUCUUGCUCAUAGCUACUAUCAGAGAUGAAAUAGUCUAGACAGACCCUUGUUUUCAUCCUGUAGGGCUACUCUUUUUAUGUGUUUGUUGUUGUUGUUUGUUUUGUUUUGUUUUGUUUUUAACUUUUGGAAGAUUCUUAGAGUACAUCAAGACAUUGAUGUAACAAUGACAUAGAGACACAAGACAUCUUUACCUUGUCCUGCUGUUUUGGCCCUAGAUGAAGAGAUUAUAGCACACAUUAGUGCCAUACUCUCCCAUGCUUGCCAUACUAACAGUUACUUGCACAAACAAGUGGAUGGCACAGAGCUGCCCACAUCAAAUCUGUGCUGCUUUGGAUCUCUCAGAGUUGAUAAAUGCUCGUGGGUAGGUCAUUUCCAAAUAGUACUGGCUGUUUGAUUUUCAUAUUUUGAUUUUCGUAUUUUAUAUGAAAAGUCAGAUAUGUACUCUUAUUUAUAAGCCUCUUGUAUUAAAAUUCAUUUUUAUUUUUCCCACCAACUUUCAGAAGAGAAAGUCUUGAUGCCAAUAGCUCAAAUAUCUGAAAAUCAGGAAAAAUUAGAAAAAGUAGUAGCUGGUUUCUGAAAGCUAUGGGAUUCCAUAUUUAGACUUUUCUUUGUGUGUGUGAAUCUGGUUUCUACCUUAAUUCUAGGGUGGAUAUUACACUUCGUAAAAAAAAAAAAAAAAAAAAAAAAAAGCAGGUACGUUUUUUUCACUGUUUAUUUGAGCUCCAAGGUAAUAAUCUAUAUUAACUGUUUUAUACCUUUGAGUCAGGAAGGCACUCUAUGGUUGACUGUUAUUGAGAUCUUUCAGAUAAGCUGUACAUUUGCACUCAUUAUAAAUUAUUUCACAAGGAGAAUGAGAUCAGGUUUGAAACAGAAUUUCUUACAACCACAUAAUAACUUAUCAGUCUUAUUGACAAGCAUUUUGCAAAACAAUAGUAUUGUGCACAGCUUAUGUAUGAGCAAAUAGAAUUACUGCUAACAUCUUUUAAGGCACUUGUCACACACUUUCCCCUCAGUCAAACACUGUUAGCUCACUAAUCAAUCUGCUUGUCAAAAAUGCUCUUCUUUGGCAGAAGAGACUGAGAAGUUUGACAAACUGCAUUAAGUUGGUGAUGUUGAUUAAUGCUUUUCAGUUAGUAGCAUUUUGUUGAACACUAUAAAUUAAGAAUUUUGAUGACAGCUGGCUUUUCAUAAAUUACAUACAAGAGGAGCUUAUCAUUGCAAUGAAGCAAUUUAUUUUUCCUUUCCAAGAUUUCUUAUGACUGCUUCAUGUGAGUUUCUGUUGCGUAAAUUCUUUAUUUCUUUUCUUUCAACUGUUAAAAUGUAAAUAGCACACUUUGAACUCAGUAAUCCUUGGUGAAAAAGAAAGAAAGAAGAGAAAGAAGCUUGAUUCUGAAGCUGCUGAUUUUUCUUGAUUUUUUUUCAAAGCCAAAGAACUGUAAGGACAAAACUGAAGAGGUAUAAGCCUUUUCAGUAUUUUUGCAUAUCUCAAAUGUUUGUCAUUUUCUGUAAGAGAUUUGCUAAUGCAAGGAACUCACAUACAAGCAAUAGUCCACAGAAGUUUCUUUAGUGAUUAUUCUAUUAAAUUUAGGAGUUUUUAUUGCUUUUGACUUCAUUCAUUUUUUUUUAUCCAGUACCUGAUUUAGUAGUGCCCUGUGGCAGAGGAUUGGAAUUACAUGAUCUCUUACAACCCAAGUCAGCCUUCUUCUACCACUUUCUCUCUGCCGUAUGAUGUGUGAGAGAUGGGGAAUGGGUGCUAUGGUCAGUCCUUACAAGUUCCUCUCUGCUGCUCCUUCCUCCUUAUGCUUUUCCCCAGCUCCAGCAUGGACUUUCAUGGGCUACAAUCCCUCAGAAUAAAUCUGCUUCAGUGUGGCUCCUUCCCACAGGCUGCAGUCCUUCAGGCUAAAUAUGCUCCGUAGUGGGCUGUCUAUGGGCUUUUACUUUCUUUGGAAAAUAUUCACCUGUUCUGGCAUGAGAUUCUCUAUGGGCUGUAGUAUUGAUAUCUGCUCGAUUUAGGGUUUUCUCCUUGGUCUGCAGGGAAAUAAUCUUUAUUUAAAUUUUCUUUAAAUUGCUUUUAUGCUGAUCAAAUUAGGUGAGAACCUGACGUUUUGUUUUUUUUAACAGAAAAACAAACUACUGGUUUCUGUGUGGCUUCAUUCGCAGUCACAGAAAGUGAGUGAUAGUUUAUCUAACUGAAACUACAGGAGGAUUUUAAUUAAGCAGAAUGUAAUGAUUAGAAUUGCAAUUUUGAAAGAAAACUGGGGCUACCACUCCCAACUAAGCAUGUGUUUUGACUAAUGUUAAAAGCUUUGUUUUUCUAACUCAUAUAGAUUUUAAGACAAUUCACUUAUAAAAGGAGAAAGGAGACAAGAAAGAAAGAAAGGCAGUGGGAUGCCAGUGCUUCCUUAGUUUUCCUGAACUCACCCAUGCAGUGGUUUUCCUCCUAAGUACUAAUGAAACCAGAUACUGCUUUACUUCCAAAUGGAACAAUACAAUUAGAAGCCACAUCCAUAAUAGCUUUUGAAACUAUUUUGUUAAUCAGGCACUUCUGCUGCUGAGUCAGCAUGGUAUGCUCACUGUAAAUUCACCACUUACAUAUCCUGAGCAAUGUUUUUAACUUCAGUGUUCAGACUCUGGAAAAGGCUACGGGUGACAGUUCUUCCAUGAAGAAAUGUUUAUGCUGUUGAUAUUUAUUGCUACUUUCUUGUCUUUUCCUUUCUUUUCUUUUUUUUCUCUAGUUGUUAAAUUGUUUUUUUGUUGUUGUUGUUGUUGGUAAAUAUUAUUAUUUGGGAUUUGUAUCUUUAUAUGGAGGAAUGAAAAAAUAAUUAUUUGCUGUGGCAUUUUUAGAAGUAAAUUGAACAUCCUACUGGGAAUAAUGCAAUGUUUUUACUCUAUGCAUUUUGUCACCCUACUAUUUGGAUUUACUUUCAUUCCCACACAGUGUUCCUGGAAUCCCCAAGCAAAAUCUCUAAUGUGUUAGCAUGCUGACCUUUGCUUUGGUUGUAGGCGCAAAUGUUAAUAGAAACAGAAAAAGAGAAGUAAUCGCUUUUAUUUCUCACUCUCUUGUUCAACAAACUAGCAUUUAUAGAAAGAAGAUAUUGUUCAGUUACUAAGUCAACUUGAACACUGAUUUUCCUGAUGUCUGUCAUCUAGGCUACUAACUUUUUAAAGAUGCUUCAUUAGAGAUACUAGACAGGUACCAUUUUCUUAUUUCACAUUGACUAGUUCACAGUAAUGGCUGUGAAGCUAGAUUAAACCCAGCAUUUUAUAGGUAAAAAUCUGGUUUACAGUCAUUAGUUAUAUUACCUCCAGUUCCCUGGAAUUCUGUAGUACUCUCCAACUGCUUUUCAAGUGUAGGGUAAAAUGAAAGGGAAUUAAGAGCAAAUGAUACAUGUAAUUAAGGCCCCAUUGUGAUUACUAUUUUAAUUCUGUGAUGGGGGAAAAUAAUGUAGAUAGCCAAGUCUGAAAAUUAGGUUAUUAAGCUUUCUGUUUAGUUUAGAUUUUUCUCUUUAUUUUUAAUUUAGCUACAAAAAUGUUAUUGUUCUGUUUCUAUUAUUGCCAUUGUUUUUAACUUUCUUCCUUAAUUCAUUCUUAUCCUUCUAAUCUGCCCUAGAGGUGUACCAUUCAUGAUUUUUAUAUUCUGAAAACUACAAAUUGCUGUAAUUUCCUUCACAGUGCUACAUAUUACCCUAGUGAAGUAACCCAAGCUGAGUGCAUUGCUGUAAAGGGUUUUCUUUGAUUUUUUUCUGUGCUCUUUUUAGAGACUUGGCACUGAAGUGGGGAACCAUUCUAAAAAAAAACAAAAAUAAAACCAACUAACCAAACAAAAAAAACCUACAUGGACUACAUGGACCUUGUUUUGAUACCAAGAAUGGCAUUAAUCUUUAUGCAGAUAUAAAUGGAAGUUAGCCAGCAUAUUUCAAUAUACUCUAUGGUUUUGAACUGACGUGGUGUUAGAAACUGAAAUAUAUGACCUAAAGGAUAUUUUUUCAAAACAAGCAGAAGGCCAACAUUUAUGCUAUUCCUGACUACUUGAGACCACCAAAUCCCAUACAGUUAGUCAUGAAUUAGGUGUUCUCUACAGUCUCUGUAGUCUCUCAACAUGAGAGACAAAGAUGGUAAGGCUUCAGCCUUUUCUAGCAGGUCUUCCAUUGUAUUUUUUUAAUGAGUUUGUUUGAAAACAGGAUGAACAGAGUGGAUGAGUUCAGAAAGGGAUAAGAGUAGUGCAUGUCAAAAUGCCUGAGUUUUAUAUGUCAAAGAAUAAAAGAAAGGAAACUUAGGGACAAACCAAGAAAGAAGAUAUAAGAAUUUUAGGUCUAGUAAAGAAAGCAGUGGAGAGAGCUAAACAUAUUUGACCUGGGUGUUGCAGAAGCCCUGUCUCAUUUUGGAAGAGAGCUGAGAGUGAUACAAUACACAAGAAACCUACUGAAACAUUUAAAAUUAGCUAUGAUGAAGAUACUUCUGAAGGCAUCGGUACUAAUGUGCUUGAAUUUCAGAGGCUAUUCUAUAGAGUCUGUCCUAGUUUCAGCUGGGAUGGAAUUGCUUUCUUCAGAGUACUUGGUAUGAUGCUACGUUUUGGUUUUAGGAGAAAAACAGUGUUGAUAACACACUGAUGUUUACUGUUUUUGCUAAGCGGCGCUUAGCUGAGCCGAGACCAUUCACAGCUAAAGGAGGCCCAAGGAGCUGUGAGGGAACAGAAUUAAGACAGCUGACUUAAACUGGUCAAAUGGAUGUUCCAUGCCAUAUGGCAUCAUGCAGAAGGAGUUUUGAAAAGAGUUAGGGUUCUCUUUUCCACUGCUUGGGGGCCUGGUUGGUCAUUGGUUGGGGGGUGGGGAACAAUUCCUUGUGUAACAAUUGUUACAUACAUUCAUAUAUAUAUAUAUAUUUGUUGCAACUAUAAUCCUUUUCUUCUUCUCUAUUUUAGUAAAUAAAAGUUCUACCUUUUUUUUUUUUUUUUUUUUUUUUUUUUCCUGAUUCUCUCCCUUAUCCCACUGGGAAGCUGGGGAGUGAGCAAACGACUGUGUGGUGCUCAUCCACCUGCUGAGUUAAACCACAGUAGAGUCGUUGGCUUUUAACUGUUUUAUGCUAUAGUAGUCUUAAUGAUAUGAUGCAUUCCCUGAGCAGGCAGAAUUUCAUUCAUCUGAGGAGAGCUCCUUGGGAUGUCUCUGAGGUAUUUCAAGGAAGUACUAAUGUUGAAAUGUUGGAUGUGUUCAUUCUGCAUUAUGAUGAAUUUAAUUUUAGUGAACACAGAGGCCUCUGCCCUGUUAAUUUAUAUAUAAAUACAGAAAUUAUAGAAGGGCCCAGAGGAACACAGUGCCACUAAUGCAGAAGUGUGUUAGAUAUUUAAAAUAUGUGCUUCAAUUCCUGCCAGCUGGCCUUUGCACACUAUGUGCACCAAAUAACCCAGUAGCUGUCCCUGUGGAACAUAAUUUCUAAUUUUAAGUUUUAUUGAUUAUUCUUUUGGAACCUGUUACGUAAUUUCUCUAUAGACCCAGACUCCAUAAAAGAAGUCUAUGCAUUCAUUAAUACUCCAAAAAUAUGUAUCAGACACUUUCAUGUUAUACUAAGCCCAAAUGCAGUUUAUGUAAAAGCAUACAUUUAAAACCAAAACUGCGAAAACAUGUAUUCUACUGGAGUACCUACAUUAUUCCUUGAUUGGACAUAUCCUUUAAAUAAGACUUUCCCCCUUUCAUUUAAACUGAAUUCUCAGAGAAUCCAGAAUGAGAUAAAAUAUACUCAGUAAUAAAAAUAAUCAUUCAAGUGUUGAUGCAUGUCAGGAUUCUAUUAUGAUGAGUUAUUAAGGUAUCUUAAUAUGCAGGAUGAGAUUAGUGACUUCAUUCACAAUUGAAUUUUUAGUUGUUGAGGUCAAUAUUGUUAUAUAUGUUGGUUUGGCUUAUUUUCAAGCUUUCGAGUAUGAGAGGAAAUAAUUUUUUCCUAUUUAAAAAAUAAACCUUCCUUCCUUGAUAAUGGAAGGAAGCUUGUAGGCUGAAGAAAUUUCUAGAUGUACCACACAUUAUCUUUUUUUUUUCCAUAAAAAAAAAAAAUAUAAUUUCUCACUGAAACAAUUUAAAGGUCUGAAGAUGUAACUUUCAGAUCAAAUAAAUGUCUCAUAGCAAUUUCCCAAUUUAAUAUGAAAUGGAAAAGUGACCUCCAAGGUUAAAGGAGUAUAUGUAUGGGGUGUUAUAUGGCUCUUAGAAACAGCCAAAAAUCCUCCCAGGAAACAGAUUCCAGAGAAUGCCACAGUCAUUAACUUAGGUAAGAGCUCAAUCCAGAUAGUUUAAGUAGUUUAAUGAGGCCAAAGGGAUUAGAUAACAGAAGUUAUUUUAGUAUUACCAAUCAUCUGUAACUAAAGGUUUCCUCAGAAAAGCUUUAUUGCGUAGGAAAAGGCAGGCCAACAGGUAGGUUAUAUCUCUCUGAAGAAAUCAUGGUGAUAGGAGGAGAAAGAUUCAUCAUGAAUUAUUAUGGUGGUUAAACCAAAUUCUCUCUUUUGACUGCAUACAAAUUAGACAUUUCCAUGGUUUCAAUGGUCCUUUAAGUCCUUAAUAAAUGUUAACAUAAUAAUGAGAUUACAAGUAUGAUUUUAAAAACUGAGUUUUUCCCUUACACUGUUCCAAGUUUUUUGGAGAUGGAUUCAAAUAUUUUGUAUAUUGCCUGUACCCUAAAAUAUCACUUCGAGACUUCAUGCUGUCGUCCACAUUUUAAAAGCAAGGAGUUAUAAUGACAGAUCACUUCCAACUCCUACAGGUUUUGAUUUAAUUUAGACUAAUUUUAUUUGCAAGAACCUGUAAACUCCUAUCCAUUUGUGCAAAUCUGACCGUUUGGCUUAUUUGUGUGUCCAUAUUUUCCUCAGAUUCUGAGCAACAUGCUGCAAGAGUUAUAUUUUGGCAUACAGGAAUUUUAGAUUUGGGGAAAACAUACAACUUCUUAGCAUUGCAUUCACCACAUUCUUUUCUCUACUGCACUUUUGAAGUUAAAAAUAUAUGAAUGAAGUUUUGUAUUUUUUUUCCCUUCUCUCCCUCUUUUCCCUAUGGCAGAUGUGUUAAUCUACCUGUGGAAUCAGAAGUAAAUUUUACAGCAUUUUUCUGAAGGUUCCUCUUGAAGAAGUCUUGUACAGGAGACUAAAGCUUCCACAGGAAGGAUCAUGAAUUUGUUACGUGGUAAUGGAAAUUAUUAUACAUGCUGCAUGGUGAUAUAGAUGUGAAAUGGGUAUUGUGUUAUUUUCUGAAGUCUUAGUGUUUUCCUUCUGUUCCAGUUCUUAGUGAUCCAUUUUGCUCAUCUAGUAGAGCAGUACAGCAUUUAUUAUCUACAUACAAAAGAAGAUGUAGAUUUAGAACUUUAUUCUGUCAAGCAAUUACUACUUUUAUGUUAAAUAGAGCUGUGCAGAAAUAAUGAAUGCUUUUAAAGUGUUAUUAUGGAAGCCCAGUUUGAUAAUGGAAAAGCUGAUUCAGGAUAGUUCAGAUUUGGAAGUCAGUUUGGGUAUGUCUUAUGGUAUGCAUGCAACAGGAGCAUCAGAGUUCUUCCUCCUCACACUGUCCAAUUUAUUUUGUAUUUAUUUCAUGAAUGGAGUGACAAGCAAAGUGAGGAUGCCCCUUUUUCCCUUUUCCCAGUUUUAGCGCGAUACUGCAUUUUCUGCACAGUGUUAUCUAGCUUCAUCUCUCCACUUACUGAGAGAAACCAAAGCUUUUGGCUCUGUUCUUGCUGUUUCUUUGUAAAGAUGUAGUGCUUUUGGUGCAGCAUUUCUUCUUUGAACUGGCAUUUCCCUUCUCCUCCAGGGAAAUGCUGUUGGGCUGACCUAUUCAACUGAUGUACCCAAAUGCUGGCUGAGUGCAUCCCAUAUCAAGUGCUUGACAUUAUUUGGUGACUUGCUCAUUCCCUUUGUGCUACUGGGUCUACUGUGGGAUUCUCAUAUGGAUUUAUAAAGCCAUCAAUUUGUUAGGCCGUGCUAUCUCCCUGGUGAAUCUCUUUCCCAGAUAGCAUUGAUUAUCCAACACUUGGUGUUUUGAGGUUUCUCAAAAUAAAGUUAUAUUUCUUGAAACUUUUCUCAAAACAAGCUGGGUGGAGUUUCACUAUUCACAUAUUCACUACAGAAGAAAUUUCUUCCACACUUUUAACCAUGUAUUUUUUCUUUCUUUUUUUUUCUUCUAAUACUAAAGUCCCAAAGGUGAAGCUUGUGUUGGGUAGAAAAGUGACAUCCUGGUCAAAAUUGGGAAGUUUAACUUAAAGCUUUACCCGUGCAUACAUAAUAAGUUAGUCUUUUUUUUUUUUAAUAGCUUGCAAGCUAUGUUUCAGCAUUACAAAAUUGGCAUUUCAGAAUUGCAAAUGAAAGCAGUCCAGUUGAAAUAUCCAUUACAGAAUGUGGCAUAAUGUAUGGCUUCCAAAAUAAAGAAUAUGAUGUGGAAAAUAUCUUUAUAUAUUCAGGCAUCCUGCAUCACCAACAGGCAUCCAAAGUUGGUCCAGGUAAGAAUAGCAAUAAAAAAUUGGUGUUUAUAGGAUCUGUGUAAGCAGAAACAAGGAGUGAUGAGGGUUUGUUCAGGGAUCACUAGAAGUAUCAAGUGAUGUAUCAAGCAUCAAGAAGGUGAUAGGACAGCUAAGAAAACAGCUCACAAAACCAUUUUUUUUUUUUGUGUGUGUGUGUGAAAUUUAAGUACUCACUGUUUGUAUCAAGGAAGAAAUAGACUUCUGAGUGAUAAUCUUUGUAAUGCAGUAAAUUUGGAAUUAGACAUAGAGGAGAAAUGAUGUUGUAAAAUGCUAGUGGGACAUUAUUCAGGAUGAAAUAUUAAAGUUUACAAAACCAGAGCCAAAACUGAGUUCUUUUAUGCAGAAAGAGAAAAGCUAAGUUUUAUGUUCCUGCAGUUUAGCCCUUAUUGGUAUUUAAUUAUAUGAAACUAUUACAGGAUUUUUUACCAGCUGCAGACUUCAUGUUUAUUUACUGUGAUAGAACUGUGAUAGUGUCUAAGAACCUCCAAGUAUGUAUUAGGAGAUGACAGUAUUGAACAGAAUGAUUGUAAUUUUAAUCAGCUACAAAAUCUUUGAGUGUAAUACACCUUCUCCACAAAUGAUUAAGUGGAGCCAUGGGUAAAUAUAAAUUGUUACCACAUGUAGUUACUACAAUUGACAGUUGCUAUAUACUGGAAAAUAUUCUUACCUAGAGAAAUAAUUUUAGGUUUUUUUAGAAUUCUUUUUACCAUGAAAAAUCUCAUUUUCUUGGUAUUAACAUUAUUGAAUAAUAUGCAUUUUCAUCAGUGAUUAACAAGAGCACUUCAUUUUAUGGUGUGACAAUUGUGCAUGGCCGUUCAGGACGUGGCUUGACUUUCACAUCACUAUCGCCACUACUGAAAUACAUCACCCACUGACUCACUGUGCUCACAUCCCCUGUUUGGUGUCUAGAAACAUUCAGAAAGCAUCAGCAAAUGUCAGUGGGUGCCAUUUUUUCUACAUGGAGGAAUUUAAUCACGCAUCUUUCCCUUGCAUGCACUUUCAUGUCAGACUGCACCUCUGCUGCCAUCUAUCGCACAGCAACAUCACAUAGUGGAAUAUUUGCCGUGAAGUUCAACUUCUACUGCCUUACCAUCAACAUCCUUCUCUGACAUCAUGAGCCAACAUAAUAAAAUAGCAGGCGUAAGUUUUGCAGUAGCCCUUGUAUAUUGUGAGGAUCAUUAAAUUCCUUUUUCAUUAGAUACGACUUUGCUGUCUUUAACACUAGGAUAAACAUUUUCCAAAAUAGUGCCGCUUUCUUCUUCUAGUUCUUCCUUAAAUUUUUCAUUGCUUCAAAAUUCUUCAGCUAUGUCAGAGGAUACGUUUAUAGGAAGAAUGUAUUGUUCCAGGCAUUUCUGAGACAAAGAAAAUGCUCCUAGCCUUUAGUCUUAAAGGAGUUCUGAUAGCAGAUUCCUAGAUAGAUACAUUGCAGUAUCUAAAGGGCGGGGGCGGGGGUGUUAGAAAGAAGAGGAUAGAUUCUUCAGCAGGGUCUAUGAUGAUAGGACAAGGGGAAAUGGUUUCUAACUAAAAUAGGGGAGAUUUAGAUUGGAUAUAAGAUUUUUUGGGUUUUUUUACAGUAAGGUUGGUGAGGCAGUGCAACAGGUUGCCAAGAGAUAUGGUGAAUGCCCUAUCCCUGGAAACUCUCAAGAUGGGGCUGGAUGGGGCUCUGAGCAACCUGAUCUGGCUGUAGGUGUCUUUGCUUAUUGCAGGACAGUUAGACUAGGUGACUUUUAAAGAUCCCUUCCAACUCAAAUGAUUCUAUGGUUCUAUGAAAACCUUUCCUAUAUCUUUUUUCCCUCAGGGAUAUGAAUGUUGUGUACUUAUAUGUUCUAUGAGUGUUCCCUAACUCCGUUUUUUUUGUAAAGUCUUUUCGUUUUCAUUAGUUUUUAUCUGUAGGUGUAGUAAAAAUAUAUAGUACAAAAGCACAACUGAACAUGCAUAUACGCUGAAAAAAACCCAAAACAUAAACUGUGUUCCCAGCUGAUUAAUAUAGCAGAGUGAAAAGCAUAAAAUGGCACUGAUGCUUAUGAAUGGUGCUGGGAAAAUAAGCUGCAACUGAGCAAUAGCCAUUUCCCGCAAGAUAACAACCUCCUGUUUCCGUGAUGUGAUAAAGUCAGAGUACCUCAUGCUUAUUCUCUGUGUUUUUAUUUUCAUCACAUCAGUACCACCUCGUCUGAAAUUAAUUUAAUCACAGAAGAAAAAAAAAAAAAAAAGACAAGUAAAUAAAAUGAUUUAAAAUUUUUAUAUAAUUAAAGAGAGUGUUAGGAGUUCCAUGGUGAGGUACUUAUCAUAAUAGAUAACCAUCAUUACACCUGCUGUCAUUAUAACAUAUUUUAAGUGUAUAAUCAUAUUUCCUUUAAAAGUCAUGUACUAAUUUUUUAUUUUUUUUUUUACAAACAUAUAGUUGUCAUCUUUCUUAUAUGUAAGACUGAAUUUAUUUUAGUGAGUUCUUAUGUGAACUCUUGCUGAUCAUGUACGAUCAAUGCAAUUUUGGUUUUAUUUUCUAUGCCAGCAUAUUUUUCUUCCACACUUCAAAGAAAUCAUUCUGUGCCUCUGCAGCAGGAUUGGAGAUGAUGAGCCAGUACAGAUAUGGAAAAAUUGAAUUGAAUUUUCAAAGUAUACCUUGAAGAGAAGCACAAUUAUGUGAAGCAAUGCAUUAUUGCAGUUCUAUGAAUGUUCUCGAUGUUGUGUUGUGUGCUCCUCAGAGAGUUUUGAAACUGAUAAGAUCUAAUGAAGAAAUGAAAUUGAAGAACUGUGGACAGGUGGUAAUCACAGGCAUAGUAUUUUGGAAGGAUUACAGAGGUGACCUGUGACUGGAAAGUUAAAUUAGUAGACUGAAAUCCAGGAUAUAUGUAAGGUCUUCAAGAUAAUUAUUUUAAGGAACAAUAAACAUUUUAAAUAAAAGUAAGUUAUACAUUCUGCUUUCAGAGUGCAGAGUAACUAUAAGGACCUAUUGUAUCUUAGAAGCUGAAACCUAUAGCAUUAUGGAUUAUUUGUUUUCUCUGAGACAGGUUAAUUAACAUAUAAGAAAAGGUUAUCCAUUUGAGAGAUGCUCAUAUAUAAUGUUUUUCUUUCUGUAAUCUAAAUGGAGCUGAUUUGAAAAUGAUUAUCUUCAUAAACAGAAGCUCAGACGUACAGUGAAAGGGCAUUCUUGACAAACAGCACCAGUGGUGUUGGCAAAAUCGGAAGAAACUGUGUUUGCUAAUGGACUAAUUCUGCAGAGGCAGCAAAGAGCAGAGAGAACUCACUUUUGUGAACUCAACAAAAUAAAGAAAGGCUUGCAUGGUUUAAAUAACGCUGCAGUGGGUUAAUUAAAAAUAGAUAUGCAAUAUCCAGCCAAUUCCUUGUAUCUAAUUCUCCUCCAAGUUCAAACUAAUGUUGAAAUAAUCAUUUUUUGUAUAAACGUGUUGAUUAAAUGCUGGAACCUAAUUUAUAAGAUAAAGGAGUUAGGAAAAGUUAGCAGUUAAUGAUGGCAAACACUUACUUCAGUGAUAAUCUCUGUUAACAGAGAAGAUACUGUGAAUUUUGAAGAAUUUGACAAGCAAAGUGGGGCUUCAGGUGCCUCCAUUUUUGGUAUCUCACUUCAAUCUCAGGUUUGGGAAUUAAAAAGAAAUAGAUGAAGUUUCAGAAAACUGUGGUGAUAUAAUCACAGGAAUACAAAGUCCAAGAAGGAAUUUCCUUUUUUUUUUUUUUUUUUUUUUUUGUUCGGUGUUAAAAUAUGUGAUAAACUCUAAUUUGUCCUUUAGAAUAUCUAUGCAAUGCUUCUGGAUUCUGAACCUGUGGAUCAGACACCCAUUCAGAUCUGUAUGCAGAAAUGACGUGUGUUCAAACCUUUUGAAGGGAAUUGGAUGGAGCAGGCUGCACCAAGCUAUCAUCUCCAUAGGAAAAAAUAUAUCUGAUAUGCCACAAUGAUUGAUAAAAUAUCAUGCUGAGAUGCAUAAGAAUCAAUGUCAUUGAUUCUUAAUGACAGCAAAGAUAUCCAGGAAAAAGAACUAGUAGGACAAAAUAUUAUGACAUGUACAUUAUUUAUACUUGUAUAAAAUACGGUCUUGACAGUAGGAGAACAGCUUAAUAAAGAAACAGCUUUUCUGUAACCUGUAAAGCAGACAGCCUUCUUGCCUAGCAAGAGUAUCUGGUAGCCAGCACCUCUACUACAACUUUCCUGUGUAAUUUUUCUUAGCUUCCAAGAACAAUAACUGUUGUUAUUCUGCAUCUUUUUGAAGGCUGUUACAAAGAGCAGAUAAAAGUAAAAAUAAAAAUGUGGUUUUAAUGUGGCAGACUGAACCUGUCUGAUUUAUGGCAGUUUGGAGUGUUCACUUCAUGUGCAAAAGGUGCAAGCUAAAUAUUAUCUGCCUUUUUGCAGAGCAUUUAAUUCAAUACUGGGAAAGCAGCAGUUGGCAGUCUGAUUCUCCUUACCAUAUGAUGACUAUUUCCCUCAAAUCAAAAUCAAGCUGCCAGUUCUAGAGACUCUUCUCAAAGCAAAUAGCGUCAAUAAAAGAAGUGUGGAGAAGUGAUAUGAAUAGCAGGUGUGCCAGAUCAGCCACAUCAUCAUCUGUGGGUAGGUGCUUUUUGGUUUUUGUCGCACUCUCCUUUGUUUGACCUCUGGUGUCAGAGGACUUGGUUGGCAUCUCUGCCUCGCUAAUCAUCUCUGACAUGUGGCUGGCACUGGCAAAUUUACUCAAAAGGAUGUGCCUGCUGUAUUCUGCAUUGGCCUUCACCUGUUGGAGGCAGAUAAGUGCUGUAUAUUUUGAAUCGGGUAUAAAAAUGUAAUGAAUACUUCGUAUACUGCUUUGCUUUGUAACUCUGGUUCACGAGUUCUGUCUUCUUCAGACCAAUACAAGUACUGCAGUAAGUCAGUAAGUCAGUGCUCUUUCAAAUAGCACUUCUUCCCUUCUCAAGAUAAACAAAACAUGUGAUUAGAUUUGGAAGGCAUCAACAUUUUAGUGUAUCCAGGAGUUUGUUUCUUUUUCUUUUUUUUUUUUUUCCCUACAGAAAUAUUCACAUUUGGACUUCAGGGGUGAAAUCCAGGACUCUUUGAAAUCAAUAUAUUUUCACAGAUAUUUUAACAGAGAUGAGAAUUUUCUGCUAAUCUUUCUUCUUUCAGCUACUUCUUCUCAGAAGAGUUACAUACAGACAGAUUUUUUGUACGUACUUUUUUUUUUUUUUUUUUUUGAGUUGGCUACAAGUUAGAAAAUCCCCUACAGCUAAAGUUCAGGCUGAGGAAACAAGUGAUUUUUAUGGAUUAUCUAGUGAGUUUAGUCAAGGAUGCCUGUGCUUGUGUCCUGUGGGAGAAGCUUGUAAUAAGCCUUGAUAAAUCAGUACUCAUAUGCAUGCAUCUUCCCUUUUGCCUGCUAAGACUAAACAGAGCUAUUUCUCAAUUCCCUUUCUGCUAGUGAAUCACAUCAAAGAUUUGAAAGGGUGAUGGGGUUUUCUUAUUCAAAUGAUGUAUUCAUUGACUUUCUUGAUUAGUGUCUUUACAUUUUAUCAAUGAGCACUUCUCUGAAUUUCAAUUACAUGUUUCCAUUGAAGAAACUGUGAGGGGGAAAAAAGUGGUUUCAGUAAUGAUGGUAGUCAGUUGAAAAAGUGCUGUGCAGGUUGACUGUCAAACAUAUUAAUACUUGCUUUAACAAAAUGUUUAAUUUUUAAAAUAUUUUGUUGUUAUGCUUUUAUUUCCAGAAGUGUGAACAUGCACUGGCAGAUCCUUAUUCUUUCUGUGCUCAGUUAUAAAUGUGGUAGGACAUUUAUGUUCAAAAAACUACCUACAGCCUAAUUGCAGAAGAAAGGAACGCUGCAGGUCCUGCCUGAGAGGUUGAGCUGAACACUUUUUUUUUCUGGCUUACUGGUCUGGAAGAGAUUCAGAUAAGCUGAAAUCUUUUCAUGGCGCAAACUUUUGAAAGUAUAGAUCUUCCUUUCCAACUAACAUUAUGCAAGGACUGAAUCGUUGGCAUUCUGAGCAUUUGAGUUACUAGUUGCUAGUGCCACCUGCAACUUUGGCCAAAAGAUAAGAAGGUGUUUGCUUGUUUAUAUAUCAGAAAAGGAUUUAAUGGGGAUAAGUUUAAUAUGCAGUAUUACACUUUUCAUUGUUUCUAAUUAAAUCACAAAUACAAUCUGCAUAUUUUGGUGAGAAUACAGUAUUUUCUAACAGAUUUUGGAUAAAAUGACCUAAAACAAUCACAGCAAUAUGAAGGCUAGUGGAGAAGUGGGUGGAGAAUCAACAUAAAAAAAUAAUUGUUUCAGUGACGUUUCUAAUGUCUGAUAUGGCAUUUCAUUUUCUCAUUUAGUGUGUAUAGAUCUUAGGAUUUUUAGUUAAAUGAAUCUAUAGUAGGUUGGCUGUUGAGCAUGGCUUGAUAUCUUUUCUAGAGGACAAAUACAGGGAAAAAAAUACCUGUGAAUGUUAUCCAGAGAUAUUUGAUCACAUUCUUAAGAAGCUGGCUGGAAUCUUAGAAAAACAUGUUUCCUCAAUGCUCUUCAUGAGUUAAGUUGCCCUGCAGAAGAACUUCUGCUAUUUCUGUUGGGGAUUGAGAGUGUCUUUAUUUCCUUGUCAGUUGGAAACUGUUUUACUGUAUAAUUAUAAUCAUAUGUUGGAGCACACAAAUAUAAAGCUUUGAAAUUAUUAUUGUGAGUUUUAGUCUAAGAAAUUUAUGUUCACAAUAAAGAUGACUUUUUUUUAUAUGCAUAAAACAACUUUGGGGCAAUUUUCUCCCUAGGAAUGCUCCAUAGUUUUGUUGCUCAAUAGCCUCCUGGGAUGUAAAAAAAAGGCUAAAAAUAAAUGCUGUUUCCCGUCAGACAGAAAAUGAGCAUUCUGCAUAACUGUUUCCAAGGUGAGUACUCUCUUCAUGGGAUAGGCAUCUGUGCUUCUGUGUCUUUUCUGGUGUAGUAUUAACAGCUCUAGAGGGCGAGACACACUAGCAAAGAUUAAAAACAAACAAACAACAACAAAAAAACUUGCAGACAUUUAUUCAUUUCUUAACUAGCAUGUCCACUGAGGUUUGGGAAGCCUGUAGGAAUCUCCAUGGAAGUCAACCAGCCUACCUUCAGGCUAUGAAUUUUGGUUGGUGAUGCUUACUCUUUGCAGUUUUAGUUUUCAUAGAAUCACCAAGGUUGGAAAAGAUCCCACAGGAUCACCCAGUCCAACCAUCCACCCAUCACCAAUAGUCCUCAUUAAACCAUGCCCCUCAACACAAUGAUCAAACAUUCCUUGAAAACCUCCACGGUUGGUGACUCCACCACCUCCCUAAGCAGUUUUUGAUGCUUCUUUUUAAUUCCUAUUUAUAAAAUAGAGGAAAACAACACUUCUGUUUUAGGACUGUUGUGAAAAUAAAUACAUUAAAGCUUGUAUAUUCAUAUACUAAUGUAGUUAUGCAUAUCUAAAUAAAGUAGGAAUGAGUCACCAACUUUGAAUUCUGUAUGACUGUUAUUUAGCCUUAUACAUUCAAGCUAACCAGUGAGAAGAAAGUCCAGACUACUAAUUUGCCAUGAGGGAAUAGCAUAUCUCUGAAUCAAACAGAUUCUUUAGCUGGUGUAGGUACGGAUUUGGGGCUAGGAACAUUAAUAGCAAUUCAGUAAGGCACAUGGCAAUUGUAAUUAUUUUAUGCUAUAAAAAGAUACAAGUGACCCUGAAAAUCCUAUUAUGAACCACAAAAUUAAUGGCAAGGCUAAAAUAUUAUAGUUUUAUGUGAACCAUUUCAGUUAAUUUCAGAUUUUAUAUAUAUAUAUAUAUUUAAGUCCAUGAUCAUCUUCAGAAUGUAGAAUGAAUUUUAUAUUUUUCCCUCAGUUUGAGGGAUUGUUUCCUGAAGUUUAGAUUAUUAUGAGCCAUGUUAUCAAUAAAAUCUCCCUUCCCUCCAUACACAGCUAAUUCUACUUCAGUAGAUCAGUCUGUAUGAAUGAGGCAACAGACUGUAUCAUUUUUGUUGUUUAGAUACUGAGAGGCAAAUAUACUUCAUCUCUAGAAUUGGAUCUCUCUUUCUUUCAUUAAUAGUAUUGUAACUAUAAAAUAGAUUUCAUGGGACAACUGGAGUUUGAAAGUAUAGAAAAAAGUAGAGUGGAAUAAGGAAAAGAAUUAAUUAAUAUGUGGUCGUAUUACUUAUUUCACUUAUAUAUUUAUUGCUACAGUAAUAAGGCAUUAGCACUUUUAAUAGAGUAGAUCGUUAUUUACCUUUCAUAAUUUUUGAGUUUGUGUAUGUGUGCAGGAGUUUGUCAGAGUGCUACACAGAGCUUAACUUUUAUAUUUGCAUUUCUUAACAGUGUCAGUUUAUGUUCUGCCACCAGGGAUUGCCUCAUCCCAUGUAAUCCAGAAUGUCUAUAGAUUGAUCUCUGUGCCUGAGGAAUAUGAAGAAAUUCCCCCAUACUCUGUAAUUUCUUGAACAUUGAAUGCAUUGGGAUCAGACCACACAUAGUGAUUUUUAUCUUUGAAGUAUUUCUUUUUUUUUUGUUUUAUUUUUUAUUUUUUUAUUUUUUGCAUUGAAAGACUCCAACCAUCUCUACUAUUGUUUAUAAUAUGAAAGUAAUUAAAAUUCUAUUUUAUCACUUAAUCACCGAAAUGGUUAACUUACAUUAUUGCUGUCUCCCAGUCUAUGCCAUUGUUCUUUUCCAGGAGAAGAAAAUUCUACAAAGCAGCAGAAAGGAAGUGCAAUUCAUUAUGCACGGAGCUUUCUUUAUCUUAAUCAGUUCUGGUAAUUUACGUAAGAGGUUUUGUCAUUAACUGCGUUUUCUUUGAAGAAAUCCCUCCCAUAGCCUAAUCUAGUUUGCCACUUAUUUAAAUGCCUGUGAUGGUAAAACAGAACUACUUUCUUCAGAGUGUUUGAAAAUUAUUAGAAACUCUAGUCUGAAUGUGUGUAUAUAUAUACUUUCGUCAGACAAAAUAUUAUUGUAAGUGAAUGCUAUGUUGUCAUCUUCUAAUUAGACUGGUCUAUUAGUCAAAUUUAAGUUUCAAGUGGACUGGAGGAUGGAGAAGUGUAUGUAAUGGGAGGCACAUAAUAACCUUGUUAACCACUAAAAUGUCUUUCAGGAUUGAGCACUGCAAGGAGACUGACUACAUGCAUGAGAGCUGCUCUGAUAGUAAUGCCUCCUAUUUUAUUAUGUUAGCUCAUAAUAUCAGAAGUGGUUGGUGGUAUGGCAGUAGAAGUUGAACCUUCCUACCAAUAUUUUGUUAGAUUCUGUUGCAAUGUGACAGAUGACAGCAGAGGGAGAGUGAGACAAAUUGGCUUUUGACAUGGAAGUGCGUAUGAAGCAAAAAUAUGUCAUUGAAUUCCUCCAUAGGGAGAAAAUGUCACCCAGUGAUGUUCACUGAAGUUUGCUGAAUGUUUAUGGAGACCAUUGAAUGUCAGCACACCAAGGUAGUGGGUGGUGCGUUUGAAUAGUGGUGACAGUGGAUCAGCUCCACUGGUGCAGAUUAUUAUGAGCGCAGCAUGCAUGCUCUUGUUCAUCAUUAUUGAAAAUGUAAAGCUAAUGGUAGCGAUUAUGUUGAAAAAUAGUGUUUUGUAGCUGAGAAUUUGCUCUAUCAAAUACUGUUAUCUUUGUUGUAAUUUCCAUGGAAAGAAAUGUAAAUCUGAGAAGAGAGAAGAAAAUCAGCAGGGAAUGUCAAUGUAACCGAAAUCCAGGAGCAUAUCCAGCUGAAGGGAGUUCACAGAUUAAGAUCAAAGAAGAACUGAGUGUUAGAAUAAAAGAUUUCAUUUGAGACUUUUCAAGUAUAAUUUGGAGCAGACCAUCUUGAAUGUCAUCACACAGCACAUACAGGACAACCAAGCUAUCAAAUGAAGCCAGCAUGGGUUUGUGAAAAGCAGAUCCUACCUGACUAUCCUGGCCACCUAUGAUCAGAUAACUUGAUCAGUAGAUGAGAGAAAGGCUAGGGUUAUUGUAUACCUUGAUCUUGGUGAGUGUUUGAUGCUGUUUCUGACAGUAUUUUCCUGGAGGAUCUGCCUGUUUUUGGCUUGCGCAGGUGUAUAUUUUUCUGGGUGUUGAACUGCCUGGAUGGCCAGGCUCAGAGAGUCAUAGUGAAUGAAGUUCAGUCCAAUUGGCAAUGAGUCACCAGCAACUUUUCCCAGGGCAUGGUACUGGGAACAGCUUUAUUUAACAUUUUCAUUAAUGAUUUGGAUGGGGGGUGCAGUGGAAUUGCCAAGUUAUGGCCUGAACCAAUGGUUGAGCACCAGGUGAGAAAGGCAAGACUAACCCAGGGAGCUCAUGUGCAAGCAAUGCACAUGAGUGACUAGAAGGAAAUCAGUCUGGAUCCACCGCUCCUUACUCUCAUUUAAGGGCUAGCAGCUGAGGGAGCACCGUUUCUCUGGAUAGAGGUUGCACUCCUCUUGAGCUGUCGCUGAUUGUUGGAAGGCGUGAGCCAAUUUUCCUUCUUUGCUACCUGCUAUUGUUCUGUAGUGCCUGUAUCCCAUUCAAGCACACUGUUAUUGCCUUCUUUCCCCAUACAGGGGAAUUUAAUGAACCCUCAGAAGGUUCCCUGACAAUACCAAAUUAGGUGGAACCUGCAUGAGAGUUGGCAGGCUAUGCAGAGACAUCUGAAUUAGUAGAUUCAGUGGGCCAAUGAAUUCAAUCAUAUGGUAUUUAAGGAAGGUGAGUUGCUCAGUCCUGCACUUCAGUCAGAAAAACCCUGUGCAGUGAUAUAGGCUGAGGAAAGAGGACUUGGGGAUGCUAGUCAAUAGCUGAACACAAGCCAGCAGCGAGCCCAGGUGGCCAAAGUGACUGAUGAUAUCCUGGCCUACAUUAGAAAUACUGUGGACAGCAGGAUGAGGGAAAUGGUAAUCCCAUUGUACAGCGCUGGUGAGACUACACUUUGAAUACAUUGUUCAGUUUUGGGCCCCUUACUUCAAGAAAGCUGUUGAGUUGUUCAAACAUAUACAGAUAAGUGAAAUGAAGCUGGUAAAGGGAUUAUAAAACAAGAAUCAUGAGGAGCAGCUGAGGGAACUGGGGUUGUUUAGUCUGGGGAAAAUAAAGCUGAGAGUGGAUCUCAUCUCUCUCUACAACUUCCAGAAAGGAGGUGAUGGGUGACAGGAUGUGAAAUAACAAACUUUUAGAAUUUCUUCCCAGAGAGAGUGUUCAAGAACUGGAACAGACUGCCCUGGGAAGUGGUGAAGUCCUCAUCCCUGGAGAUAUUUAAGAGAUGUGUGGAUAUGGUAAUAAAGAACAUGGUUAGAUGAUGGUUAGAUGACUUUGUCGGGUCAGGUUGAUGGAUAUACUUGAUGAUCUUUAAGGUCUUUUCCGACCUAGAUGAUUCUGUCAUACGUGUAUGGGUUCUCAGUACCCUGCAAUUAAUAUAUAUCUUUAGGAGUUGUUUCACCUAGAAUCUUUCUUUCAUCCUCAUCACUGAUUUAAAAAUACAGUGCAAAAAAUAUUUCUCCUUCCUGCUUUUGUCUCUCUCUUAUAUGUAUGUAUUUAUACGCUUGUUGUUGUUUCCUGGUUUUGCUCUGUUGGAGAAUAAGUAAAGUUUAGGGAAUGGAUCUGAUCCAAUGGUUUAAACUUUGCUCCAGUAAAGUCUUUAUUACAUGGUCUAAUUCUAAUUUUUUUUUCCCUUUGCUUUUUACUCUUAGGCACACAUUUGAAUUCUGAACUGGUCUAGGAUCUAGACUUCUUUCUUAACAGCGCAGGUUCAUGUUGAAUUAGAGAUCUCAUAUAUAUCUUAGGUUUUUUUACCUGACAGUUUCAAGUUUUAAGGAUUUUUCUUGCUAUAGAAGGCCCUGGUCAUGAGGCAGUUAUGCUUUUAAAAAGCUGACAUGUACAAGAUCAGACAUAGGACUUCACUGGCCAAAGAAAGCACAUAUUAUCCUAUAAUAAGUUGACUCUAAAUGUUCCACUUUUCCUCCUGAGAUUCUAUUGCCCAGACUCCCUUAUUUCCCCUUUAUCUUCUAAUCUGCUUCAUUGAGUUACACAUCUGUGUAUGUUUACUCCUGUGCAUGUAGUGGUGCAAACCAAUCAAGUGACCACUGAGACAGUAAUACUGCCUCUCAGGUGGUACAUAUAAGUCCACAGAUGUUCUGGGGUACUAACUGCUUCUUCAUAAUUCCACGCAGAAGAAUGGCUUUACAAAAGAGCACAAACAGGUUGAAUUAAUAUUGCCUACUGCUGAUCUGAGUGCCUUCAGUACCCCUUCUCCCAGUAUGAGAUUUAAGUUCCGUCAUUGGAACGGCACUCAUUCAAAAAUUAGACCAUAUAUAGCACAAUGAAACAUUCCUACAACUUGGAACCUUUUCUGAAGCAAAAAUUAUACAAGUAAACUAAAGGCUCAAGGCAAAAAUUAUGACUGAAUGUGAUCUUUUGAGUAAAUAAUGGAUUCUGGUAAUGCAUUAGUUUUCAUUCAGAAAAGCUGCUAAUAUAAUCCUAGUUCCCCAAACAGCAGGCUAAUUGUUGUUCAGUGUUCUUUCUGAUUCCACUUAAAAAUUUCACGGUGGACCUAAUAACAGUAAAAGUUAAGGGGUUUAAUAGGUUGGGUGUUUUUUUUUGUUUGGUUGGUUGGUUGUUUUUUUUUUAAAAGGAAAUCGUCCUUUUGAAAUUAUCUGGAACUAGACUUGAACAAACACUUAAAAUUUUAACAAAGUUAUUCCUUCCAUCUUCCCAUUUUCCUUCUAUUAUGGAAACAUUUUUUUUUAAUGGAAAAAAUUGUGUGUCUCUGUGCAAUUUGGACUACAACAAUGCUGUUCUUAUUGAUGUGCUUUGAGCUCAAUUCACAAUCAAGUGGUGAGAGGGACAGUCUCAAUUGCCACUGAUUUAUAUGUAAAUUGUGAUAAACCAGUACUUUCAAAUAUAAGGCACAAAGGUUCCAUUUUAUAUCUCUCUUUCUCUCUCUCUCUCUCUUUUUUUUUUUAGGUAAGAUUCCAGGAGUAAUUUAAAUGUAGUGAACUUAGUAAAUUCUAAAAUGAUCUCCACAUGAUGAAAUAAUUACUGAUUUUAUGCAAAGAGUAAAAAUGAUACUUAAGAAUACUUAUUAUUUUAAGAGUAUACUGCUGUCUUCAGGACAAAAAGUAAUUGUUUUCAUCAUUGCCUCUGUGGAUUAUAUUGUCCUUAUAAGCAGGUAUUAAAUCAUGCAAAGAGGGGAAGGCUUUUGUUCCUUCGAGAAAACAGAAAACUCUUCAAUAAAUAGCAAAGUGAUUCCUCAGCUGAAUUCAAAAUAUUGAGCUUAUGUAAAAAAAAAUUAUCACAUGAAAAAAAAUCUUUAAUGCUGCAUAAAAGAUUUUGUUCCAUUCUGCAUUGUACUGAAUCAUCAAUAGAGAAAUGGUUCCUUUGUUUUCAGUAGAUGGGGAAUGUUGUGGAUAACUUAUGUGAAAAAUGUAAUACUCCUAUGUCAGUACAACAAAAGAAAAGAAAGGAGUAAAUGUUAUGAGGACUGCUUCAGAAGGGAAUUCUGCUCCAAAGAGGUGAUCUAGAAAGAAAGGAAACAAACUCCUUAGUAGUCAGUCCGUUUAGACAGUGAUGCUCAUUUGUGUGAAGCUUUUUUGUUAUCAUCACAUAUUUCAUACUCAUAUAUUAGGUAAGUCUCUCUGGGAAUUCAAUGUACACAGAACAAAAGAGGAUAUACUUGAUUCAAAGAUAGCUGAAUUUCUCAGGAAGUUCUAAACCUCAGUGGGAUGGCUGCUUGGGAAGUCCUUUUACUGCAGUGCCUUGUGGCCACCAAACCAAGCAGUGAUUGAGCAGCCUUGAAUCCUUGUAAUUAGAAGAAGGAAGCUUAGUGAGAACCAGCUUAGAUGACUUUGUUCAUUUUCCUUAGCUUGUAUAGAACUGCAAGUGUUAAUAUAAUCUAAUAAUAAGAUUGUUUUGGAAAAAAAAAAUCUUGGUUUUAUAUUAAACCACUAAACAAAGGAGUGAAAGAAAAAAUAUAUUGCAAUGUUAUGAACAUCAAAUACUAUCUGAACAAGGAAAUAUUAACAGUUUAUGUGAUAAACUUUAGACAAUACUCUUGCAUCAAUAGCAUCACUGAACUGCUUGUGGGUGGCUGGGGAUAGUUUUUCCAAUAUCCAAUACUAAAAAACCCAUUAUAUUAAAAAAAAAAAAAAAAAGUGAAAAGUGAAUAAGAGCAUAUUGGGUCAUUGGCUUAUUAAUUUUACAACUAGAUGAAACAGUAGAUUUGUUUUACUUUACACAAGCUGUGUUUUUUUUCCUUCCAUGAGCUGAGUGAAUGAGUUUGAUUGGUUCUGUAAGGCUCCGGUUUGAAUUUGGGGGGAUUUUAUGCUUUUCUAAUCUUUAAAUGUAGAGUACUAUAGAAUAUGAUUACCUACCAAUUUCUUAACCAAUAUGUAUUUACUGCUGUCUCUGAGUUUAUAUUAUACUACAAUUUUGGAAGUCUUUUUAUACAUGAUUGUAACUGUUCAUGUCAGAUCUGUCUACAUUCGUAUAUUCAGUGCAUGUACUUGAAGAAUAGCUUAUAGAAAGUAAUUGCAGCCAGUGUUUAUAGGACAUCACAGUUGUGUGAACAGUGCUUAAAAACCUGAAAAAAAUCAGAAAAAAAGAUAGUAUAGAUUAAAAUAUUUUUAGAUUUCAUUUCAAAUAGGAUUAAACAAAAAUUUCAAGUAUUAUCUUUACAACUGUGAAGUUCACCCUAUUCUCAGUGAUGGCAUACUAAAUUUGUCAUGUAACUGUGCCUUAGCUAGCCUGUAGGAUUUAUUUUAGUUAUACAGACUGUCUUGGAAAUACGCAUAGAGGAUGAAGCAGUGACCUAUGGAUUUUAGAAUACUCAGAAAAAUUUUGCAUACUAAUCUUAUUUUUUUUAUAACAAUCUGAAUCUAAUUUACUUGCUGCAAGUGGGGAUGAGUCACAUUAAUUUGUCUUUUUUAACUAGAAAUACCCUACAGCUUGAUCAACACCACUAUCCCGAUUUAUACCAUCAACAUCAUGGAUUGGGUCAGUAUAAGGAAAGGAAAAAAUGAAAGAAAUCAGAAGCAAUUUUAAAACAUCAGAAGAGAAAAAAAAAGUCUUUGAAUAGAUCUGUAAAGACAGCUCAUUAUGUUUAUGAAAAAUCCACAGUUGAUAGUGAUGUACUGAUGAAUAUGACUAUAUAUAUGAAUAUCCACCUCAUCCCUCCUCUUCUGAGUUGUCAUCAAGAAAUAAGAUAUUCUCUCUUACUCUUCUGCCAAAAAACAUCUGGAAUCCUUAGGAAAACAUUGAGGUAUUGAAUCAAAAAGACUCUAUCAGCAUAUUUACUUUAAGCACUCAAAGUCAGUCAUUGACUCAGUUGUAGACUUAAGAUUAUGCAGUUGCUUCAUGUUUUACUAAAAGGUUUAAACAUUAUACUGAAACAGAGGUAAUUACACUGCUUAUAUGCAGUUCUAAUCUACCUUGAGUGUGGGAAAAAAAAUUACUUGUGCAUUUAAAAAUAGUAUUAUAAGAAUUAUUUGUAGGAUUUUUAUGCCUAGGUGCUAGGUGCUCCUAGUGCAGAUUUCACAACUUUUUGGAAACUGUAAGAUUACUAUUUCUUUCUGAGUUGUUUGUCACUCUUAAUAACUACGAGGUAAACAGAAGAAAACACUUCUAUGAAAGCUGCUCUAAUAACUGCUGUAAUGACUACUAACAGAAAUGGCUUCAUUAUUCAUGAGUUGUGCACAGAAUUAGUUUGAGACAUUGAAUGGAUGUGAGGAUCUAUUCAUUUUCUGUUACAAACUCCAUUCUCAGCUACCUGAAAAAAUUAAGGUCAAGAAAAUGGUUCAUCAUGUUUACUCAUUCAAGACAUCACCAAAAUCCAGUUGAUACUAGAACUGGGGACAAACUUACUUUACUAAUUUGUCUUUGUGGGUAAUAUGCAACCAAUCCUUUCCAUAUAAACUACUCCAGAGCCACUAUUAGUAUUUUUACUAGUGUACGGAUAGGAGGAGGUUAGAGAAGCAUAUAUCAUAUGUCUAGGUUAUAUAUAAAGGGACUGGAUAUUGAUUACCUCCAUAUUUUACCUGCUGAUAUAGUCAUCUUUGUGUAAUUUUUGAUAAUUUUACAAGGACACCUUAUUGUUUGUGAGAAGCAAGUUGGAGAGCCUUUCUGUAGUGAUCUGCAUCAGCAUUUAGAAUGCCAUAAUGAGGUUAUAUGUUACACUAUGCUUAUGUGCUUUGCUAUUAAUUUGAAAUAUUCUCCCUGAACAUGAAAUUAAUAGAAGUAAGGAAAAACUAUUGGACCACAAUCUGGAUUAAGCACUUCUUUGUAUCAUAGAACUUCAGAUGCAUGAUUAUUAUGCCAGUAAUCAGAGUAGCAUUGAAUUUAAAAUUGCUGCUUUGUUGCUCUGCAUAUUUUGAUCCAGUAAUUAGGACUGAGAACUGUUACUUCGUUUUACUUUCAGCAUUAGUAACAUUACAGGAUUUCAGAGUAUGCAAAAGAGAAAGGGCAUGAAAAUCAAAGCAAAACUUUCAUUAGAUGAUGAUGCAGUUUUGGAAAUUUAAGGAACUUCAAUUAAGUUUCACACCUUACAGUAUAAUGUAUACCCUAAAUUCUGUAAAACUUAAGCUUAGGUGAAUUAUUUGGAUUUUUGCUGUGACCUUCACUUAAAUGGCUAGUAUUUCUUUCUCUAUCUUUCAGUGCAAUAAUUUUAGACCAUACAAGUGCCAGGUUAACUUUUUUUUACAGGGUAGUAGCUGUGUCUGCAUCAGCAAGUCAUACAUGGAAGAAAUAGAUCAGGAGAUCAAAAUAGCUGGUGGUUGAGACUACUGCCACUAUUAUGUGUACUGCUCUGGGGGCUUAUUUUGAAUUGAUUUAGUCUAGUUUCCUGAUUCAGAUGUCCUCGUCACAUGUGCAGCUCAAAGUCCUUUGAAGAACUAACCUUUUGUUUGGACCCUUAUGAACCCACUACUUGCUAGAUUGCAUUUGAUGUGUGCCUGAUAUAGAGUUUAGUUUCCUCCAAAGAAAAUCUAGCUAGCAUCAGCCUCUCCUCAUUGGGCAAGUGCCCAACUCCCCACCAUAAUGAAUGCCCAUUCCUUAUCAGUGCUGUAUCUUUAUCUCUAUUUUGACAGCAGUUUUCUGACUUUGAGUUCUAUCAUAAUCUUAACAAGCUUCCCAUUAAUUUCUGAAUAGAACAGCAUAUGAAGAUACAGUACUGGAAGUCUGGUGAAAGGAUUAUGGUGUUAGGAAUUAACAGGAAGAAUGAAAACUACUGCACCCACCCAAUACAGAAAAGUACAUACUUCAUUAUCUUAGUAGCUACAUUAUCUGCAAUAUCAAACAUCUUGUUUCGUGUCAAAGGUCAUACCUUGGUGAUGUCUUAUUAGUACAGCCGUCUUUAGCUGGUGUGAGAUAUGUGUUUAUUCACAGUUUGAACAUCACCCCUUCAUUCUCUCCUAUCAUUAGUAACUUAGAGUUUUCAUGUACCCGAUCAACUCUUGACACAAGAUAGGUCUCUAGAAGGAAGAGUGAGUUUUGAACUUUCUGUAAUUAAAUGUACAUUUUUUUAACAUCAGUAAUUGGAAAUCACAAUAGAUUCCAAUCCCCAUGCUAAUAAUUCAUUAUAAAUCUGACAUAUAUGGCGAACAUUUAUAUACCAUAAUUUUAGAGGUAUCUCAACUAGAAAGUUCCUAGCAAUAAUAAAAUAGUAAUAAAAAGACAAAGGCAGACGCAAAAUAGCAUUUUAAAGGUAACAUAGUUGAAUCUGUUAUUGUCCAAAAUUAUUUUCUGCAUUAAACACUAGAUACUAUGAGAAGAACUUAAAGUAAAAGGUACGUACUGUAAUUCUUCUCAUAUUAUGUAUUAGACUGAAAAAAUACACAUAGGUAGUAAGGAAGUUGUGUUCUCCCAUAGCACUGUGAUUAAUGUGUACUUAAAUUUCUUCAAAAGAAUCUCGUAAUAUGUCCAUGAGAUGUUCGUGAUUUUAUUACAUCAAAAUUUAAAAGCAAAUUUCAGGCUUACAAGCUCUGGCUUUUUUGCUGUGAUUGGCUUCUGACAUGAGCACAGGUAGUCCCUGUCUUGUAGUCUUGCAUUCUCGAUUUACAUAGUGGACUUUAAAUUGUUUUACUUCAGGGGAUGUUAUAAUCUCCUUUGAUGUCCAUAAAGUCAGUAGACCUAAUCUGCUUGAAAGAUACUGAAUUUCUUAGAAGCUCAUAUCCGCCUACUAUUUUACAUAGGGAUUAUCAUUACUAGGCUCAUAAAAUGUGUUUUUAACAAUAACAAAAUUUGAUAAGCAGCUUGGCUUCAUAAUGAGAAUUUAGCAAGACAGAAAUGCUACUCAGCAGCAAUAGUUUUUCCCUUGCAGAAACUAUGUCAUGUGAAAAGAAAAGGAAGGAGGAUCUGAUUUCUAGACAGUUCGUAACUGAUUGUGUCAAAAUCUACAUAAACGCAGGACACACAGUUCUCAUGGUAUGUAUAAGAGUUGUUUAAGGAGUUAAUUAUGGAUAGGAAUGAAUUAUCUGUGCAUAUGCUGCUGGUAACAAAUAAUCAACUUUAAAUUCUCAUUUUUAGACCUAAUGGUUGAUAUUCAAUUACUAAUGGUUAUCCAUCUAAAAAGCUAUCUUACAAUACUCAGCUUGAAUUAAAUAUCACUACAUUAAAUUGAAUUAUGAGAAAGAGUAGCUCAUCUAUAUAUGUAGAACAUCUUGAAAUUGAAAUUUGUUAUUCAAAUCGUGAUUCUGUAAUAUGGAAGUGCACAUUUUUAAUAUGAAUAUAGAGAAUUCAGUGCUUGCCUAUUUGAGUUGCAUGUAUGAGCUCAUUAAAAAAGGUAUGCUAAAAAUGAGUAUCUAUAAUAUAUAAUCUAGAAGAUACAAAACCAAAUACAUAGUUACUGAUACCAGUCUGUGUUAAUGUCUGUGGGUUGCUUCAAAAGUACUGCCUUCUAUUUAUUUCCAUGGCAAUUAAAACAGAUACGGAGGACACAAUAACACUGUUUGAUAGAGCAAAUUCUCAGCUACAAAGCACUAUUUUUCCUCAUAUAGUCACCACCAUUAACUCCAUGUGUUGCCAGUGAUGAACAAGUUCCUGCAUGCCAUGCUCGUAAAAUUCUGCAUGGCCAUCAGGGGUGUGGCUUGUCUUUCAUGUUGCUAUCAUCACACUGCUGAAACACACAACCCAUGGCCUCUCUGUGCUCACAACCACUGUUUGGUCCACAUAAAUGUUCACUGAGCAUUGAUGAAAGUCAGCAGGUGUCAUUUUUUAUGCUUAGAGGAAUUCAGUUAUAUGCCUGUGCUCAAUAAUUCACUUCCACAUCAGACACUGUUUUGACAGACUGCCCCUCUGCUGCCAUCUGUUGCAUGGCAACAAAAUGUAAUGGAAUAUUGGUAGGAAGUUUCAGCCUCUACUGACAUACCACUAGCAUCUGCCUCUGAUGUUGUGGGCCAACAUAACAAAAUUGGAGGCAUCAUUUUCAGAGCAGCCCUUGUAGACAGCACCAUAAAUGCCAGUAGAUGAAACCGUAAACAGGGUGUACAGCUUUAAGUUUUCUUUUUUGAAUUAUUCUUUACCAUUUUACAUCACUUUUAAAGACUGCAUUUUGAAAAAUGGUCAGCAUCUCUAAUUCUGUAUGCAUAAGCAGUUGGGCAUGCUAGGGGAAAAACCUAUUUCUAGGAUUUAUGUGUGUAUACUAUCUGAGUGUGCUUAGCAUGACCGACAGUUAUCACGUACCAGAAUGACAGUGUAUUUUGCAUUCUUAUAGGAGAUUUGUGCAAGUAGGUGGAGACAAUGGGAGGUCUAUAUGAAGUUCUAACUGGCUUAAGUUGGUGAUGUUGAAUGUGACUGUUAACGCUAUAUAUUUCUGAAAGUUUUAGAGUCUUUAUUUGUAAUGACAUAUUAAGGAUUCAUUUACUGUUUUCCAACUUACAGAUUUAUUCUGAAGACAUUUUUUAAAGGGCACUCAAUCUUAACUUUCAUUGCGUGGAAACAGAUUUAUGCCCCAUGAAACACAUGGCUACUUAAUUUUGGCUUCUACAUUCUUGUUUAUUUGUAUAUCUUUCUGAAUAUAUUCCUCUUUGUUAUUAGCUUACUCCUGCCUCUUUGCAGACAUGCGUAAUCAGCCACAAGUUUCAAAGGUUGCAGUUGGUAGGAAGGGCAUGGGGAUAACAGCCUGAAGCAAGAAUAGACGAGAAAGUGUGGAUAAAAUCAACUCUGUGUUCUGAUAAGAGAGAAAUAACCUACCAUUUGUACUAUUUACUUGGAGGAAUUUAGAAACUAGCAGGGAGGAAGAUUAGACAGCUUAGGAAGAAUUAGAACCUUGAAAAAAGAUGUAAGAGGAUGGAUGAUAUACCUCAGGAAGAAUAUGUCUUAGCAUAUAGUCUAGGGAGACAAACUUACAUGGCACUUCAUAUAGAUAUGACUGCUGCAAGCUCAGCUUCAAUACUGUAUUAAAUUGAAUAUGUUGCAUCCCAGCUGGAACUAGCUAUGAUAUGUCCUAAGGCACCAUUUUUAUCAGCAGCCUUUUUGGGUUAGCAAACAACAAAUGAACAGUUUCUGUGCUUUGAGCCAGUAAUAAUGAGAACUUGAUAAAUUCAAAUUCUUAAACUGUGAUCAUUAAACUAUUUUGUUAAAAUUUGUUUUUGUUGAUCUCACUGAUGGAGACACCUCUUUGCCUAGUCCCAUCAUGUUGAUUUGAGAAAGACCAUGGAUUCUGACAAGACUUAAGGAUACAGAGAAACAGAAAUUUUAGACAAGCAUAGUGUUUCAUUGUUUAUUAACCAAGUAGUUUUGUUUCUGUGGGAUCAUUUCAUCUAGAAUCACUCUGAUAAAGACACAAAACUACUGUGUUGGUUGUCCUUAACAGAAUGUAAAAAUUUUUGAGUGCUCAUUUCAGACUGACAGACUGGCAGUAAAGUUGCCAACUAAUAUAUCUGGCUGAUCUUUUGUAUGAAAUGCAACAAGUAGCUUGAAGUCCUCCUCCUUUGGGGCCAGCAAAUUGAGAAUGCCAAUAUUCUGUAUCACUUGAGGGUGUUUUGAGGUCAGUUAGUGUUUUUGAUCUAGCAGUUACAAUAAAAAAUCUAGAUACAAAAAAGCCUACUUACAGUAAAUCUGUUGUUGUGGUUAUACUUUUCAGUUAUUUUAGUCCAAGAAUCUGGAGAAUUUCCUUGUAUUUGGAAACAGCGUGAUGCUGUUUGACAGCAGUCCACAUGCCAUGUCUUACUUCUAAUGGCAAGAGCUUGGCUGUCCAUUGAUGUGAAAGGGCUUUUUGGUAAAAUGUGAGUUUUGCUUUUUCCACUGAAAUGGUUGAAAAGUGAUUUGAGUAUAAAAUGGACACAGUGACAAUAGGAAAACCUGAGAGAGAGAAAGAAUGGAUUUCUUCCUAAUUAGUCUGAACAUAAUAAUGUGUAGCAUGUUAGCAGAACAUGUCUGAUUUUUAACAGAGGAAAAAUGAGAGUGCUCAGCACAAGAGAAAAGCUUUGCAUUAAAUAAACCUUUUAUUUUCCAGUGUCAGUUAAGUUCUGCUGAACAAAACCUUGGACCAUUGCUCUAGAAAGCAGCAGGUGAAUGCCACAAGGCAUCAUACUGAGGCCAGGGUGAGGGCAGCCACAGGGCUGGGACAUGGCCAAUGAGGAGAGCUAGGCAAGGCCUGACCAAGGUCCUGGGGGUCUAUGCUCAUACUGAGCCAUCUGCUGGGCAGUGCGGCAUGCCACUGUGCCACGUUCAGUCAAAUGUUGCAGAGCACUGCAAAAGAGACGUGGAGGACAGCUUGCUGAUUUUGUGGGCUUCCUCAGGCAAGCAAAGGCUGAUCAGGCAGAAGCCAGUUGGGUAGCUAUCCCCACAGGCAUCAGGAACCCAGCGUGAGGAGCCCAGAUGUGGUGUGCACUCAUACAUACCAACAUGAUAAAGGAUGUAUUUCCUCACAUGCACUUACUGGCUUUUUGGGUGGGUAGGAACUAGGAGGUUUUCCAGUCCCUCCCUGAUGUUUUCUUAGGGAAUCACCAUGAAAUGUGUUCCAUGUGAUGGCCGCCCAUAUUGCUCUUAGCAAAUACAUCUUUAUCUUGGCUUCAUAUCAAAAUGGGCUAUUGAUUUCAGAUUAACAAAAUCAAGAAAAAUAUAAGUGUGAGAUACUUUUAUUCUUCAAUAAAGUUCUGAGGACAAUAAUUGGAUUUGCCUUCCAGACAGGCACAUAGUAUUGAUUAUGAAUCUGAAACUAUAAUUCAAACAAGGCCAAAACUAAUAGAAAGUAUACACAUGUUCAGUAACAAAUAAAUUAAAAAAUAAAAAAUAUUCAUAUGUUAAAUGCAAGAAUUUUACAACUGUUACACUGAUAUGUUAUUGUAUUACACUUGCCUAAGUGGCUUAGCUGUUUUGUGUAUAACCUAAUAUAUGAUUUCACUGUUAGAGAAUUAUGGAGUAAACUAAAGAAAGGUAAAACACUUUUUAUCACUAACAUAACAUAAAACAUACCUCAGUGACUGUUGUUGUGAAAUACUAUUUACUAUUUUUUUUUCUUUUUGGUCCUUGAUGAAAUUAAUGUGGGAAUGCAGUAUGAUGCCGGAUGCUAAAGUAGAUCAGUAGAUUAAUUUUAGUCUCUUAUGUAUGCAACAGAGUUCUGAACAGUCUUUGGGUGAGGCUGUCAUGCUGAAUAAUUUCUUUAUCCAUUGAUCUCUAUUCAAGACUUGAACUUCAGUAACUGGACAUCUCAACAUCAUAAAAUAGUCAAAACUUGAAAGGAGACAUUAAAUUACAAAAAAAAAAAAAAAAAGGAAAAAAAGUUAUACCUCUUUUCACUUUAAUUUCUUUCUUUCUUUCUUUUUUUCUUUAAUCUCACUAAAAAAAAUAUAUAUCAAAAUGUACUGUACUAUGAUUUUUAUUAACCAGUUCUUACAACUUGCAACUGAUUGUCUCAGCUUGAAUUUAUCUGUAGUAUACAGAAUUCUCUUGCCCAUUCACAAAGAAAAAGUAUUAUUUAGAGUAGUUCUCAUCCACAGCUUCCUCAUUACUGGAUUUAUGUGAAAAGCAGAUCUUAUUUCCCAUGGUUAUUCACACAGAAGUUUUCUUUUUAUGACUUGAAAAAUAGGGUUAUUCUUCUUUCCUUGAUACUUGAUGCUUUUAGUUUAUUCCUAUAGCAAAUAGAAGCAGAGGUUCUCCAGUUCCUAAGUGCUAUUGGUGCUUUUUAUGUGUAAUAACUGGACUUAACACAAAAAAUAAAUUUUUAUCCAGUUAUUUUAUGCCAAAAUCAACACUCUCCACAGUCUGUACAUAUACUGGUAUACUGGUAUUGCUUCUAUCUUGAUUCAGAGUACAGCCACCAUGUUAAUGAAGUGUUAGCAGAUAUGUAAGAAGUUAUCUAAGAAACAUUAUUUUAGUUUUUUGAAACUGCUCUGCAAAAACAUUUCUUUUCAGUUAGUAAUUGCUUAGAGCUUAUAAAGUUGAAUGAAAGAUAAAAUAGAUCUUCCUUUUUUUCAACUACUUAACACAACAAGCAUUCAUUUUUUCCCCUGGAUCUAAACUGGAACUUUUGAAGAAUCUGAUCUUACCUUUCACCCAGAAAGAGGAGGAGAGAUCAAAGAACUCUCUCUGUUACCUUCAGCUGGUCUCUGCAAUGCCGUUACUGCUGCUGCUACAGAGUCCAGGUAAAAUAUUCUGCAUUGACUGAGUUAAGAGAUUACACUAAACCAAGCAAGUUUAGGGAUAUGGCAGAUGUCUUCACUUUUGUUUCCUUUUAUUGCUGAUGAGGAUUACCUUAUGAUUUAACCAACAUCCCGAUUACAAGGACUGAGUUUGGAAGAACAAUGAUGCUUCAGAUAAAAUGUCUUAUCCCCUUUGCAGAAACAGGAAGCUAUGGCAGUGAUGGAAGUGCAAACAUCAGAGGAUCCCAAGAGUACAGCAGUGACUUGAGAGAGCUGAAUGUUAGAACAGCGGAUAUUCAUUGAAGAAGUCAUGGAAGAGUCAUUCCCUGGAAGGGACAGGUAACUCCCUGGAAAGACAUGAAAAAAAUCACUACCAUUAGCCUGAUAGAGGUAGGAGAAAAAUACCGAAAUGUAAAUGUUGGAAAUGUCUAUUUUAAUACAGGUUUGCUUUGGCAAGAGUGAACCUAGGAAGGAAAGCAAGCAAUGAACAUAAUGUCCAAAAUAUUUAUGGUUAUCUUUGUUCAUGGUUUUAUGUGGCAAAACACUCAGUCUGGUUUUCUGAUUGCUAUCUCCAGCUUAUUUUCCUGUGGUGCCAUCCAAAGACAUUUCAACACUAAAAUUUUAAUCAACCUCUGUUUUUCACUGGAAAAUUUAAAUAAAAUAAUUCAUUUGAACAUUUUAGUAGUUGUUAUUGCUCUAUCAUAGUCUACUUAAGCAUUUCAACUUGUCAAAGAAUGAUGGGUUGUUAUGGGUAUUUUAAUGAAAGACCAUAUUAAAAAUACCAAAGUAAUGUAAAACAUAUUGUAAAUGAGUUCAAAAUUAAAGGCACUUCAUGUCCUUUAUUGAACUCCUACAGUUUUGCUUGUAUUCACACUAAUGGCUGACGGUUUGUGAUGGGAAUGUGAAAAUCAAGCUGUAUUAGUAUUCUCAAAUACUGGAGAUUUACUAUUUCCCUUUUCACCGGACUGCAACAUUGAUUUUUACAUACAUAUGCUUACGUGUAUGCAUAUGUAAAUAUUUAUUAAACUUACAUGCACAUAGCUUAAACGUAUUACAUAUAAAUAUGCAUAUUUGUACUUAUGUCUAUAUAAAUUGAAGGCAAGGACAUCACAGCAAAUUGUAGAUUGCACAUAAACAUUGCAGAUCAUUUCACAUGAACUUCUUGGGCCACCUUCAAUAUAGUUCAAUUGGAAAGAUUUACAAGGGACAAAUACCGUGGGCUACUUUUAAAUCAGCCUAAGACUACCUGUUGCAUGCUCUUCUGUUAAUUUAUCUUCCCAUGUUUAUGCCCACAGCUAAAGAAGGUAGGUCAGCGAAGAAAGAAACUGCUUUUGUGUAAAAGUGUAGAACUAUGCGUGAUUAGACAGAAUUUUCUGUAGGAAAUUCAGGUAUAUGCUUAUCUACUGAAUCCUGAGAGGAAGACUGGGGGAAUAAAGUGUAUAGUAAACUAAUAAAACAAUUUCUUCUGUAGCAGAAGAGACAAAGAUAUCGUUAUUAAUUUGUUCCGAGACAGUGUCUAGGAUGGCUUUUUGGAUUAUUUUCACUCAUAACAAAUGUAACUUCAAACUUUAAGAAAAAGAUAGCUAAGUAGGACUACUCUUUUAAAAAUGUCUUAGACUAAUUUAAGUUGCAUCCAUAUAUGACAGAUAAAAUGGAGUACUUCAUCAAGCUUAUAUUCAAAUAUGUAGUAGUAAUGGUCAGUAACCUAAUAUUUGGGAGGAAUUUUGUUUCCCUUUCAUCUGUGCAUUCCUAAUGAAGGUGUUCUAGAGCAUAUGUAGACAUGGAAAGGUAAUGGGGAAGAGGAGUCUGAGGUAGAGGCCCAGACAUCUCUUUAAGAAAACAAAAAUAGCUUCCUUUUGGAGAUUUACUUUGAGGUCUCUGGAUAUAAGAAAAUCUGUAUGAAAAUCCUUGUCUGGGUUAAUUCUGAGGAGUGUUGCAAAUUAUUAACUGUACAGUUAAAGCAACAUCUUAUCCAGUAGUAAAGGUGCGGCCAAUGUAGCCUAGAUACCACUUUAUUAAGCAUCUGUAUAUGCUUUGUAAGUAACAUCAUUGGAUGAACUCUUUCUUUCUAAGAGUUUAUUAUUAUUCUUUUUAGUUGAGUGGUCUUCCCAGUUUUUUAUUUUAUUUUUAAAUUUAUUAAAAUGAAACUGAAAGCAUAAAAACAAAAAUACACCAACACUGAUAUUCAGUAUUAAUAAUUAGUAAUGUCCAAGCUAUAAGCUCGUUAAUAUAUAUGUCUUUAGAACAUGAUUAGCAAUGUGAAAUUUACUCUGUUGCUAUAUACCACUGGUGGCACUGCCUGUGAAAGUGCCACUGACUGAAGUCACUGUACGAAAGAGAUACGCACAGGAAGGAGAAUGUGUCCUCACAGAUUAGGUUUCCUUUUCUAUCAACUGUAAACAACCCAUAGGUAUCUCCAGAACACUUAUGGAGCAUCUCUGGGGUUAAACAUCUGGUCUUUCUACCUUAAAGAUAAUGAGUAUAUAGAUAAAUACCAGCAAUCUUAAUCUAACAAAGAGCUCAGGGGACAUGCUGGCUACUGUGCAUAGGGCCUUAAUGAAGUGGACCCUCUGGAAUGGAUUCACUGGAGUGGGACUUGUUAAUCAAUAGCGUCGUUCUUCCUAGACCAUUCCCUCCAAGAAGUAUGGCACUUCAUUUGGGGCAGCUGCUGCUGUGCCACUCAAAGAUAGACUGAUGCACUCUGGGAGAUCAUAAGCCAUAGGAUGUGAGGGAGAGCAAGACAUGAAGGAGUUCACUUCAUACCUGAUGUUUGUUGCAGUCAACUCACAGGAAUAAAAGUAAGCUUCCAGUGCUGUUUGUCUGAAAUAUGCACUCCCUUCCCUGCAAUAAUCUCUAAGACAGAAACUAUGUCAACAGAGACAAGAAUUCUCAUUCUUUCUAUUAUGCUUUCAGCCCUAAGCAGUCAGUAAGGUCUGAGCUGCCCAAGUUCUGUACAGUAUCAUCCAUAAUUCAUAGAUUUCUGGCUUUCCAUUAGCUCAGCAUCAGAAAUUGAAGAGUCUGAGCGUUGCAAGGUGAUUAAGGACUUUUUUUUCUGAUAUGUUGCUUCUUUCUAAGGCUGAAUAUAGGUUUAUUUUCUGUACAAGUGCUCUUGCUAAUAGGUUAUCAUGAAAGAGGUUGUCACUAAAACAUACGAGUUCUUGUUGCAUGUAACUUAUCUUUUCCAGGAUCCAUAAAUUCUACAGCAAAAUAAAACUCAAAGUUUGAGGAAGAAGGAGCUUUUCUCUUCUGAACAAACACUUGAGUGUGUGUGACUAGGUAAUUUAAACCUGUACAGAAUUAAGACUUAAGUUGAGAACAGCUAAAAGAAUAUGGAUAUCUAUUUAGAACCCCUGAAGAAAAGGAGGAAUAGAUCUCUAACUAUAACUGUGUUUCAAAUGCUUUAUUUCUCAUCUGGUUUUAUGAAGACUAUUUCCACAGGGUAAUUUUGUAUCUUUCCAUUAUGAGAUAACUGUUUUUUGUAUUAAAGGGAAAUACGGAACAUAUCCCAUCUAUCUUGGCAUUAGUGAAGCCGUUAAUUUAGUACAAAGUUGAAAUUUUAAAGUUAAAAUGAGGAAGAUUGGGUUUUUAGUAAACAGUGAUAAAGUUGGAAAAGAAGUAGCUGAAAGAGAGGAAUUGGCUUUUUAAAAAGAAAAAAAGGAAAGAGAUUUGUAGUGAAAUUCUUAAAGGUCAGAUCUUAAGAAAGGAUUCAUAUAGUGUAUAGCAGAAAUUAAACUGAAUGGUAUAAUGGUAAGAUCAUUUGUUUUAGCACAGAACCUUAGGUGCAGAAGGCUUGAAAUCAAUUAUGGGACUAUGAGGGUUCAAAAAUGAGGUGUAGCUACUAGAAAAUGAGAGUAGUUUCUGAAUACAUCAGAAAACAUAUGUUUGUGUGCAGGGGAACUGUGGUGCACUGAUGUUUUGUCAUCUACAUUACUAAAUAUAGGUCAGUUCACCCAUAAUCAAGCUAAAAAAUUCAUGAAGAAACUCUAUUAGAAUAAUAUAGGGAAGGAUGCAUGCUUUAUAAAGCAGGGACACCAAAAGAGUUUGGCUUAUUUAAUAAAAUGAAGGAAUAAAAGACAGAAUUGUUCUUUCAGCACUGGUAGAAGUACAAGAGAUGUUCAAACCAACGUACAGUUCUGUGAUGUCUAUAAGUGGGUGUUAAAGUGAACAAUAAUGUAUUUAAAUAAACAAGCAGAAGAGACUUGUUAACAAUGAUAGGAAAGAAGUUUUGGAGCAGUAGACCAUAAAGAGAGGAAAGCAAAAGCAAAUGUAAAGUUUGGUAAUGUAGUGGAAUUUCAAGGUAACAGCCUGAACCAAUGGGUGGGCUACGUGAGUGUGAGGGUGCCUGGAGCCAGGGGGUGGGAGGGUUUGGAGCCACCCCUUCUGUCUCUGCAAUACUUCCUGUGCAAUCUGAGUCUGCGCAGGUCCCGCUUUUCCCCAGCCCUUCUCUCUGGUGGUGCGACGGUCUGAAAGGAGGAGGGUCACAUUCCUCAGCUCAUCCCUUUCUCCAAACUUACUGGGAGGAGUGAGUUAAUUCCUUUUUGAUAUCUUUUCCUAUAGCGCCUAUUUCUCAAAUAAGGGCUCUGUCAUUGCCUUCGUUUGCUCUACAAGUAAAUAGCCAAUAAAAGGAACAGGCAAAGGCAGAACAUGGAAGUUUAUGAAAUCUUUCAAAUAACGUGGUCAUCUCUAGUAGAAGGGGAUGACCCAGGAAGUUCUGUGUUCAUGAGAGAAAUAGGAGAUAUCAGUGGUGGAUAUCAAAGAAAUAUUUAAGAAAGCCUGAUCACUUGUCUACCAUUUUUCUCCCUAAUACCAGUUUCAUGAACAGAUGAGCUGCAACACUAUUUUUCAGGUGAUACCUGAUAAUCAAUUCUGAUCACCGUGGCACUUUGCUAAUACCACUGCUGUUGCUGUUAAAAGGUUUCUCUUCUCUUUGCUGGACUGUGUAAUCUACUUGUUCACAUAAGUUUCCUUGAAACAUUAACAGUUGUUGCAAACUACCCAAAGCACAACGUAUAGCUAUCUACUGCCUGAGUAUAUCCAAGUAUUUAUGAGUUCGCAUAAUUGCACUGGAAUUUAUUUCUCUUCAGGAACUUGAGAACUUACAGAGCUAUUAAAGAUUUAAUACAGCCGGAAAUAUUGUUAUUGCUUUCUACAGGAGUAAGUGUAUGCAUUUUGUUAUUUGCCUUUUUUUCUUAUAACAAGUAUGUAAAUGAGAAAUAAAUACUGAAAGCUGCACAGCACUAUAUCUCCCACACAAAGGGAAGUCAUUUUAAAAAUAGCUUAUGCUUUGAACAGGAAAAUGGAAAAACACACAGAGUAACAAGGCACUAUGGCUAUUCAGCUUUCUGAUAAAAAGAAAUCCAUCAACGGUUUGCCUUUAACAGUUUGGCUGCACUCUUUUGUAGUAAAAGAUAAAAAUAUCAGUUGUGUUCCAGAGAUUUAGUGGGGGGGGAAAAAAAAAAAAAAAAGUGACUUUACUCUUAUUGUUACAUAGGAAUAUGUUAGGAAAGCUUAUAGCAGGCAGUAACAAUUCAUGUACUGAAAGUCUAAGUUAUUGAUAACCUGAAGAUUUCACCAACUGAAGUUCAAAUAUAUUUUCAGUAACUCAGUGAUAUCUUUGAGUUUGCUUAGACUGUACUUUGGAAGAUUUCAAUAAGUGAGAUUUAAUGUCAGUUUAACAAUGUGCUUAGCACAUGUUGAAUACAUAUACUGAGUAGAUGAAGAAAAGGAAUAUUUGUUAUAUAGCAUUAGAAUUUAAAGGAGACCAAACAAAAACAAAGUCUUGAAUAGAAUGGAAAUGGAAGGAAGAAAGAAAUGUAUGUCCUUGACAACAGUUUAUAAGCAGAGGUAUGUAUUUUGUACUUAUUACUCUUUGUUACAGACCACUGGAGUUGGGAAAUAGAUAAUUGUUUACUACAAAAAAAUGCUAAUGUAAUCUGGACUUUCUUAAUGAAAAACACAUUAUACCUCUGACUCUUCAAACUCAGCAAAUUUAUUUAAAGAUUGACUAAUACUGAUUAUUGAGAGCUGCAGAGAAUUCAAAACCAUAUGAGAUCCUUGCUUUAAAGAUUGAUGUUAGAAGAUUUAAAGGUAACAAUCUUGGGGAAUGAAGAAGAAACUUAAUGUUUGCUUUCUUGAUGUUAUUUCACUGUCAAGUUGUAUCUUCAUAAGUAAGCUAGAGAAAUAUAUCUUAAUGAAAGUACUGCAAAGUAUGAGUUUGCUAGGUAAACACAAUUUUCAGAAAGCAACUUAUUUGUUCAUUAUCAGAAAAGAAGGAAGACAGACUAAUAUUUCAAAUGAAAAUUAAUAACUAUUAUUACUUAAUAAGAAACAUUUCAUUGUCCUUGCAGGUGGUAUACUGCUAAAACCACUAGGAGAAUGUGGAAGAAUAAAGAAGAAAGGAUAUAAUUUGAAGAUAAUAAUAAUAAUAAUAAAAAGUUAUAAUAAACUGGAAGAAUGAUGCCUAAAAUAAUCAAUUAAGAAAUAGCCAGAAGUUGGGCGUCCCUCAGGGGCCUGUACUGGGACUGAUGCUACUUAAUACCUACGUCAAUUACGUAGACAGUGGGAUGGAGUGCACCCUCAGCAAGUUUGUGAAUGACACCAAGCUAUGCGGUACAUUUGACAUGCCUGAGGUAUGGGAUACCAUCCAGAGAGACCUAGACAGGUUUGAGCAGUGGGCCUAGGGGAACCCCAUGAGGUUCAACAAAACCAAGUGCAAGGUCUUGCACCUGGGUCGUGGCAACCCCCGCUAUCAAUACAAUUUGGAGGAUUUAAGGAUAGAGCACAGCCCUGCUGAAAAGGACUUACUGGUAGACAACAAGUUGGGCAUGAGCCAGCAGUGUGCCCUCACAGCCCAGAAAGCCAAUCAUAUCCUGGGCUGCAUCAAAAGAAGCAUCACCAGAAGGUCAAGGGAGGUGAUCCUGCUCCUCUACACUGUGCUGGUGAGACCUCACCUGGAGUACUGUGUCCAGAUGUGGAGUCUCUCAGUACAGGAGAUACACAGACCUGUUGGAGUGUGUUCAGAGGAGAGCUACAAAAAUGAUCUAAGGGAUGAAACACUUCCCCUGUGAGGACAGGAUGAGAGAGCUGCGGCUGUUCAGCCUGGAGAAGAGAUGGCUCCAGGAAGACCUGAUUGUGGCUUUUCAAUAUUUAAAGAGGGUUGUAGAAAAGGAGGGGACAGACUUUCAGCAUGGUCUUUUGUGAUAGGAUAAGGGAAAUGGUUUCAAACUAAAGAGGAAGAUUUAGAUUAGAUAUAAGGAAAAAGGUUAUUGCAAUAAGGUUGUAAUACCCCAACCUGCAGUUGGUUGCCUGGAGAGGUGGUGGAUGCCUCCUCCCUGGAGAUAUCCAAGGUCAGGCUGGUCAGGGCUCUGAGCGACCUAUCUAUCCGUCCCUGUUCAUUGCAGGGGAGUUGGACUCGAUUACCUUUAAAGGUCUUUUCUGACACAAACAGUUGAAUGAUUGUAUGAGUGAAAUGAACAGAUUCUUCUCAUAUGUAUGGUUCUCACUAUUUAGCACUUAACAUGAGUUAUGUUUAUUCAUUGAUUUAUUUACUGCUUCAUCGGAAUGAAUACAGAGCUAGGUGGUUACUUAGAUUGUUAGAGAGCUACCAGAGACAGCAUUGAAAAGUAAAACCAUCUCCUAAGCCUCCAUGUGUUUAUCAAAAUUGGUCAUAAAAAGACCAAGAAAGAAGUAGUUAGUAGUUAUAAGUAACAGUGAGGAAAAAUUAAAUUACCUGGUAAUUAUUUUUUAUUUUUAUGCAUUAGUUGACCCUCUGAAGACCUCAUAACUUAGAUAAUGCCUUGUGAUCUCAUUGUUUUAUUCUAAUCUAAUAAUAAUUAAACAGAAAGUUAUUUCCAACUCUAAGGAAAAAUUUCAGCUGUGGAUAAAAUGUUUCCAAACAGAAAAGAAUUUGGAAAGAGAGUGCAAACUCUCUUUUCUUUAUCAUCCUUAAAGGAAAAGGGAAAAUAAUGUAUUUUUAUUUUAUGAAUAGAGGAUCUUCCAUUUAGAAUGCUUGGUUUGUUCUUGAAAAAUAUCUGAAGGAAUAUUAAUGAGAGAAGAAAAAACAAAUACAAAAUAAAUAAAUACCUAUCCCCUUACUGAACAUGAAACCAUAAAAAAAAAAAAAAAAAAAAAAACUGUAACGGCCACAAUUCACAUUAUGAUGAUAUCCUGAAAUUGUGUGUGAGAUCUAAAAGAGACCAUAUAGAUUCAGUGCAGUUGAUCUUAGGGUAGUAAGUGGAGAUUUUGUAUCUCUCAGAAGGUAUGGUUAUCCUUAAAGCACUGCUUAAAGAGUUAGAGGUAUUUUUUCCUGUUGGAAACUCUUUGCAAUAUUUCAAAUGAAAUCUUUCUUUUAAACAUUACAGUCACCUAGAAAGAAAGGAUAGAACCAUUUUGUUUCAUGUUGGCCUAGUAGUCUGUGGAUUUAUGGGCGUGUUUAAACUCUGCUCUAGUGAGACAAUAUGUCACAAAUAUUGUAUUAUUUUGUUAUUUUCUGACCAUCAACCUGAUGCUUGCUACUAUCCAAUGCCCUUCAGCCUGUACUCUGUAUGCAGGUUGAAAUAAGCCUGUACUUAUUUUGUGACAUAUUCGAAAAGAAUAGUAAAACAUUUAUAAGAAAAUCUAGACAUUUGCUCUUACACUAAGAAAAAAUGUUAGUUUGGGUGAAAAGACACCACAGCAUUUUAGGAAUUCCUUUUGAAGAAACCAUAUUUUGGAGAACUUUUGUCUAUGACUGCAACAUAUUACUGCACAUACUGCAGCAAAGUGCAAGCUGUGUGUCUGCAGUUUAAUCAUCUUUAAAGUGAUGAAGAGCAGGAAUUUUAUUUUCAGAGGGGAAAGAUGAGAAACAAAUCUAUCAAAAUUUGUUCCGUGAAUUCAGAGCACAUGGGGAUUUAUUUUCAAAACAGAAACUGGUUUGUUUCUGAGAAGCAAAUUCUAUUAUUGUUUAACAGGAUUUGGGGGCAGAAUUGUCAUAAACUGACUGAACACUUACUCUGCAGGAGUUUUUUGCAGCUGAGGAAAAAGGUUGGCAAAACAAUUUGUUUCUGUGGAUUUUUUUAGUGAAUUCAGCACGUGCCCCAGAAAAGGGCAUUUAUCUCAUUUUGAAAGCCACUUUCAUAUUCUUUCCCUAACUUGCUUACUGUUAGCUAAAACACUAAAUUAGAAAGAGUUAUUUCAAGUCCAACCCAAGGCUUAAUUUUACUUUUGGGGAAGAAAGUUGGAUUCCUAAAAUCAGUGGGGAAAAAAGAAAGAACAGUAAUUUCUGCGGAGGAACAACAAUAAAUACGUGCACACUUUUUUUUGCCUGUGUAUGAAGUGUAAGGCACAACAGAAUGAUUUAAACUUGCAUUCACCCAGAAUGAUUUUUUUUUCCCCUUCUAUAUCGUACUCUUGUUCUGAAACCUCACAUCUUAUCCAGGGUUUAAUAUAUCUUAGGGUGCAUUAAUUUAAUAAUUUUAGAAUGCUUUCAAAACUCUAAGGCUUAUUAUUUUAUUACCAGGAGUUUGUAACUUAGGCAGAAUACUGAAUAAAUUUUGUCAACCUUUCGUGCUUACUUUCUGGAGAAAAGGGGAAAAGGAUUAUUGAGACCUAGGGAUGGUCCGUGCCUGAGAAAGGAACUCUGUAAUCAGGUGUGGGGCCAGGAAUUGGACUCUGAUCCUUCUGGGUCCCUUCCAAAUUGUCAUAUUCUAUGAUUCUGUGAUUCUGUGCUUAGCCCAUACAUGACUAUCUCACCUAGGCUGCUGCUUUGAUGUGAUGGAAACACUCCUUGCAUCUUUAGCAGAAGGGGCCUUCCUAAUACAAAACAGUUACAAAGAGAUAGAAAAUCCCAAAGGAGUUCUUAGAGAGCAGCACAGCUCACUGAAUUAUCUCUGUGUUUUCUAUUUUAAACGUUGUGUUUCUUUUUUAAUUAUACAUUGAACUUCUGGCUGUUCCUGGAUAAUUUUCAUCACAGAAGGUUUGGAAGCGUGCAAAAUUUAGGGAUGAGGAUUUUGAACUAUGUGUGGAAUGCUUCCUCUUUCAGUGUUUUUGAUCAAGAGCUCAACUUCUUUUUUUGUGUACAGUAUUUUACAAAAAACAAGUCAUUUGAUGCUGGGCACUCAAAUGGACAAAUACAGGCUAGCAAAAUACCUCAGAAAAAUGAAUGGGAUAUUUCACUGUCCCUCAGGCCUUUCAAUAUUCAUAUUCUUCACAGUAUUUUCAGUGCAAUUGUUAUUGCUUCGCUAAAGCAAACUGCCUUUCCCAUAGAAAUAGUUAUUCAUUUGGCUGUUCAUCAUUUCAGAACAGGGACUGUGUUCUUUCCAAAUGCACGUAAAAGCUUGUGAAAUAUAUGAGAGAAGUUCUAAUCUCAUCCACUUUCUAACCAGAAAGACUAUGUGGAUGGAAAGUUUUAGGAUGCAUUUUCAGCAGUUUUGAACAAAACUAACAGGGUUUGGCAGAGUUCCUUGCUUAUGAAUAGAGAAAGAUUUGCAGAACUAGGUAACUACUUAAACUUGGAAACACAGCAAGCACGGAAAACAAACCAACAAACACAACCAACAAACAUUCCAAAGACAUUUGUUUUUUGGAAUAUGUUUGCUAAGUUUUGGAUGAGAAAUUUUUUAAUGGUCUUGUUACGUUGGUAACUGUGGUCAGGCAGGUGACAAAUUUUCAGACAACACCUAUAGGUUUCUGAGAGGAGUUUGAUGAUGUGAUGGCCUUGUGGCCUCCCAAGGAACAACCUCAAACACUCCAUCAUCCUCCUGUCUUGAUUCUGAACACCUGUCCAACAUUAACACAUAUUCUUCGCAGAGAGAGAAUAAAGAAGAGAAAAAUAUAAACAUCUUAAUGAAGAAAUAAAUGAGUGGAUGUAUUAACUAAAUAAGGGAUUUAAUUGGAUUGCUUUUGUCCUGCGAGCUUAUAAUUAGCAGAUUUUUAUUUAUGGCAGAAAGACCUAUCCUUAGCAUAUAUGCAGAGCUAUAAGAUAGGUAGAGCUCAGGGCAUUUUUAAUAGAUUCUCACUUUAUAAUUUGCAGGAGACAAAAAUCUUUACGCCAGACUCUGCUCUCAGUUACAAGAGCACACUGGAAUGCACCUUUAAUGUGUCUUGUCAGUUUUAUUUUCCCUUAACCCUUGUAUUUGCACAUUUGGAAAGAUUUUAUGACAAAACGGUCCCUGGCAAUUUUGAGUGUGGUUAAAUAUUACUUUUUAUAAUAUAAAGUGGAAGCAUAAAAUAAUCCCUUAGAGGCUGCAAUCUAUUUCUUCGUAAGUGUUUCCUUGCUUAGCAUGGGGCCAGAAGUUUAUCACCAUUACUUUGCCUACAAAUGAACUGUAGACGUUUAGAGAAAUAUAUUUAAUAUAUUUUAAAUAGGUAAAGAAUGUAAUAAAAUUUAUUCUGCAACAAACAGUUCUUCCCUGAGGAAAAAAAAAAAAAAAAAAAAGAGAUGGUUUCCAUAUUUGUGUGUAAGAAAAGGAAUUUGUUUGUGAUCUGUUAACCUUGCCAUCUUGUCUUUAAAUAUUUGUUCUCAUCAAAUCCUUGUCAUGUCAUGAUGUCAAAGGAGGGAAAAUGUCUAGAGAAAAGCUUUCAUCUUCGAACAAGUAGAUGGAAGACUGUGAAAUGUCACCCUGACUUUGACUUUGUUUGUUUAUUGCUUAUUUCUGUUGAUUCUAGUGCAUUCAGCAGGAGAUCUGUUAGAACUCACAAGCCUUUAGCUACCAGUAAUAGCUUUGGAUAAGGCAUCGAAUACUGCAGCUGACCUAGAAUCUUGCUUCUCUUAACAAAAAUGUUAAAAUGUCUCUAUCCAAAUGUGCUUUAUUCUGCCUCUUAUUUUGGCACUGUGCUUCUCUUAAGCCUAAUUAUCUCUAUAUAAUUUUGAAAGCAUUGAAGUGACAAUUUUAUGCCAUUUUCUAUUUUGGACACUGAUAAACUAUGAGAAAAAAAUUAAAAAAAAGAAAAAAGAAAAAAAAAAAAGAGGAAUAGAUGAAUUAGGUCAGGCUGACCUAAUCUUUUAACUCUAAUGUCAUCUACACUGCAGCUCAGACUGUAGUUCCAAUUGUGUUUCUUGAUAAUAUGAUGUCAUUUAGAAGUGUAUGAGAAAGGUUUUACCACUGACUAUUAAGUUGUCUGUAUUGAAGACAAAAGCACAUGUUUAAAACACCGCCAGAGGUAAACUGCAGGGAGAAUAAAGUGCAAAAACCUGUUGCUUUGAUAUUGUUACAUUAUCUAGACCGUGGUAAUGGAAAGAGGAUUAGCUGGGAAGGUAAUCUGAGUUACUGGAGGAACCAAGUCUCAAUACCAGCCUGAUGACACUCCUUUGGAAGAUGCUUUAAAGACAAACUAAAAUCCAUCCAUAAGCAGAGAAUCAAAUUUAUAAUUCUUAGUGUGCUUUAUUGAUAUUGCUGAGACUGAAAUGAUGUAUUUAGCUAUUUAAAUCUCUUAUUUCAAUGAUGAGAAUACUCUUCUGUCUAGAUAAUUUAAAGAAAUCAAUUUUCCUUAAAAUUAUGUUUUUGUUCAUAAUACAAUGUAUCUUCUGUACUGGAAAAAAUCGUGAGAAAUUUUAAGGCAGUUUUCAGAGAAAGACAAGAAAAAUAAACAAAAAAAGUGCUUGAGGUCAAGUGCAAAGAAGUUGUCAGUGGAUAGACUUCUUAAUCUGAUAGUAUCUGGAACAGAAACAAGAUUGCAACAGUUAGGUUUCAGAAGGGAAAGUGUCACGACUGUUUGGCGAAUUCCAGUAAUUGCUUGUUUAAUUUGCUAUUAUUCACUUGACAUUUCAUGCAUCUGAUUUCCCAAUAUCUAAAAUCCAUAUAAUAAAUCCUCACUGUUGUGAAGUGUAUCAAAAACUAAAUAUAAACAGGUUAUCCACUCCCUUUGUGUUACGAGAGCUCAUUUUCCUUGUAGGUUUGCCUUCAUAUAUAGUAUUACUAGAAUCAGGCCCCUGCAUGGAACAUUUGGUUGCUACUUCAUAUGCUAAGUAAAUGUUCUGAGCUGUUUGUUUAGGAGAAACUGUGACCAGUUGUUUUAGGCCAUCAAGCCGCUUAAUUUGACUAGAAAUUUCAAUAACUGUUUCAUUGGAACUCUGAUAGAAAGAACUGUAUCAAAAUCUAUGAGUCUAAUUUAGGUUUUGCUAUGCUCUGAUUUGAUGUGGAAUGCUUUUGUGUGUAGAAAACAGAUAAGCUUCAUUUUAAGACGACCUUAAGGAAGGUUAUGCUAUGCUCUAGAAAUAUAAUUAGAUUUAUUUAGCUUAAUGUAUUUUCUAGUUUUGAUUUCUACAAAUAACUGAUAAACUGAAUAGGCACAAGGUGUUUUUAUUCUGAAAUGAACUGUAGCCAUCUAGUUUUUCCAAAGGCUGCUAUUGCACUUAACAUUCACGUUCUUAUCUUACCCCAAACCAUCAUUAAAUGAAAGAAAAUACUUUAUUUUGGUGUACUUGCCAUUGUCUUGAAAUUAGUUUAAAAUGGAAAAAUUAAACUUCAUUUGAAUGUUAGAUAAAGGAUUUUGCUGACUCCUAUGUUUGAUGGUUGGGUUUCCCCAGGCCCAGUGACUAAUGGACACAAUGUCAAAGAAGCAGAAGCCCCUGAAGUACCAGUGAGCUUUUAAUGUUCAUUCAUAAUGGCACUGAUUGGCACAAAGGGAAAAUUAAUAAAACUAGUGUAUAGUCAAGGGAAACCACAUCUAAUAUUUUCUAAUGUUCCUGCCUUUACUCAUUAAACCUCUCUCUGACCCUUAAGAGGCUCACACCACCUCUGAUGCAAGAGCUUUUUUCUGUGUAAUGCUUACAAUCUGAGAGAGCCUUGCUAUAUUUCUCUGCCUCAUCGACAAUUUCUCUUUUUAAAAAUUGUCAUGGAAAAAAGGUGAACAUUUUCCCCCUAAGCAGAUUCAUUCCUCUCUCAUGCCCCUUUCUCGUCUCUGUAGAUAAAAACUGCUACAUUAAAUAAAAAUAUACUGUAAGCAAAGCAUAGUAAACAAAUGCAAUUCAGGGUAAAACUGAAUGCCCACUAAUCAUUUUUCUCUGCUUAUUUUUCUUUGACAGUAUUCCUAAUAGGGAUUUCAAUGAAAAAUACUCAUCAGUUUCCUAAAGUUCCCAGAUGGAAUUUAAAUGUAGCAGUGGAUUCAUGUUUUCGUUCGGGCUAUCUGGGAGCAGAAGACGGAAAGGUGGUAGUAUUAAACUUUAGAUAUCAGAUUUUUUUCUCUCUUUAUGUAUAUUUAAGAACUAUUUCUAGAUAUUUAAAUUUUAAUUAAAAUUAAAUGAAAUUCUAAUAAGACUCUCAUGACAGAAAUAAAGGUGUAUUCUAUACCUUGUAAAAGGCUGAGUCCCAAAGGAAUUAACUAUUGCACUCAGAUGCUAUUUCCCUACUCCCGAGAUUAAACUUAGCCACCAAAUUAGCUGGAAGAUGAAGAGUCCUAUGCUUGGUCUGUCUCUUUUAUAACUGUUCUUGAUGAUCUUUUUCUUACAAGGAAUUGAAAGUGAGCAAUCAAUUGAAGUAAUUUCUAGUGAAGUAUGUUAGCAAGGUUAUAUCUGGUUGUAGCAACAAUUUGCAGAGUGAUUAGCAACUGCAUGCUAAUUAUUCAAGAAGCCGUUGAUUUCCUGAAAACACUAAUUCUCAGUUCAGAUUGUGUGAUGUCUUUGUUUCAUCUCUGGUAAAGAAGCUUUUUGCAUAUAUUCUAUUUACACCCACUAGAAAAUUCAGGGUAAUAUCUUGGUGAACAGUCUUCUUCAAAUAUCAGUUAAGUGUAACUCUAACUAUAUUACAUAAAAUCCUUGUUUCAUUCCCCACCGCACCCCCCCCCCCCCCCCCCCCCCCCAAAAAAAAAUCAAAGUGUAUUACACAAGUCUAUAUAAUAGCUUGUUUUGAAGCAAAAUGGUAUGAUUUGUGUGUAUGGACAAGUUCCUUUCAGAUACUGAUUUCUACUCAGAAAGAAUUGCAUGAGAAUACAUUUUGCAAAAAAAAAAAGACAAUGAAUAAAUUCUGCUACAGUCCAGAUACUCUUUGCAUUCCAGAUUUAAGGAGUUCUGGUGAAGUUACUGGGUUAAUUAUGCAAA
ensembl:lncRNA